UCAGGGCUCGCAGAAGAACGACUCAACGAUUCAGUGUAACACCAGCUCGUCGCAUAUGUACUGUAAUCGUGGUCUCACUGAAUCCUCCACACAAGCUGUCCUUGGAUCAUUCUGUGAGUAAAUCCCUCGGUAUCUUAAAAGAACAGCCUGAUAAUGGCUGCAGAUUGCCUCAGCUCUGUAGGUAUGAGAAGCUUACAUUACCUGCUACAUUAUCUAGGCAGCCAAAGAUGCUGGAGGGAGAAAGUAAAGAAUAGGGAAGACUCCAGCAGAAGGUCAUAUUGAUUGAUAAAGCACCCUGUGGACUGGACUCUGGAUUGUUCACCCCCCAUAGUGUGUUUGUUGUGGGAUACCAGACAGCUGCCUGAAGGCCCCGACAAACACAGACAGGCAGAGAAAGACGGUGAAAUCAAUGAUGGUCUCCUACUGAGCUCCGAUAGGUUCUUCCCAAUCAUCUAAAGUGGCUCCCUUGGCACUUUUACUUGCACCUCCACUGAAAGAAAUAGCAUGAUUUGUUAAAGACACUUGAGUUCAGGGCAGAAAGGCAAGCACACUCUGCACUAAAGCAGCAAUCAAUGACUGAAGGAAGAUACAUCUCUUUCAAGAAAAGAGAACCCUGGCAUUAAAAAGUAACUCAAGACCAAAAUACUAUAAAUUCCAGCCUGUGAAGGAUGGAGAUGGGUAAGCAUGUGUGUGAGAAAGGCUACAUUUGCCUAUUGAGACCAGGCCCAGCCCCUGGUGUUUCCUCUCUCCCUCGUGGACUUCUGACAGAGCCAGAUAGGCCUCCUCACUGCUGACAGCCAAAUGUCCUCAUCCAUCCUCAUCCGAGAGGCCUGCAGGCAUCAUCAACCCCAUCUUGAUUUCCCCGUACGAAACCCCACACCAGAAAUCUUGUGCCAUGGAGCCCAGCAGAGCCAUGGAGCCCGGAGCAUCUCAGUGGCGUCUCUGUCAAUAUGUCAUCAUCGUCAUAGCUGCCAGUUGGCAGCAUCGUAACCCGCUGCAGAUGUGUCAGCAAAAACAGCCUUCAUUCUAUUAUUAUUUCUUUCCACUGAGUGUCCAUUGUAGGAUAUAAACCUCCUUCGAAUUCAUAGUGAGGACCAUAAUUCAAGCAGCCCAUGAUAUUCUCCCCAUUGCUGUGAUGGAGAGGUAUUUGGGACAAUGAACAGACCCAUGAGGGAGCAUUUGUUUUGUGUGGGGGUAGGUGGGAGGGGCGCAUCAGAUGGGUAGAGCUGUAUGAGCAGACUUCAGCCCUUGUAUAGGCCAACCUAGCUGUGCUGACAAUACAACUUUAACUGAUGUGGAGGAUAAACCAACUAUCUUAUAGGAUAAUACACUCUCAGAAUAAAUGUUGCGCAAGUAAGUGUUUUAUCAGUUUUAUCUUCUGUGUUGAUCCUCAGGUUGGACUAUGGAGAAAUACUUCAUAAGGGUCCUUUUUGCCACAAAAAAGACAGAGUUUCUGAAAAGCUCGAAAGAAACCAUCACAGAGGUACUGAAGCUAUAACACUGGUGCCUUUAAGCAAUGUUCUGACUGUGCCUCCAGUACACUUAUUUUACCUUAACGUCGCCAUCUGACCUGAACAGCCAACUGCUGCAGUAUGCUACAAUAAAGCACAACAGUCACAACUCACAAAACCGGCCAAUAUUUAUUAAUUGAGACCACAUAGUAGACUGUAAAUAUGAGUCACUUUGCUAAAAGCCAGAAAAUCACAGCAAUAAUACAGCCAUUUGGAAAACAGAAUCAUUCUCAGUGGAACAUUUCUGGGCUUCAUAUCAUCAGACUUGAGAUGGUAAUUGUCUGUAGUGCAUUUAGUGAGGGUCACAGAGGUAGCAGAGAAGAUAAAGGAAAAUAGGAGAAGCACAAGAAGAAUAAGUACAGGCAGACUUUUCCCUACAGAGUCUCUGGCAGCAUGUGCCUUUCUAACAAAUGACAGGAAAUUGCAACUUUGCAGCUAUUGCUGUAAUUUAAUUCUGCGUGUCGAGGAGGGGAGCAGAACAAGUCUGCACAUGUCAGCUUGACCUUCCUAAGACUAUAACAUGAUGCUCUACUAUCAGGGGACAUGGCAACUUUGAGAUUUCAUUUCAGUAGCAAAAACUAGAAAGGCAGAGAUUCUUAUCAUAUAUGUUACAUACAAUCCGCUUUGUAAAUACUGAGGUACUUUUUACUUCUUCUAAUAUGUUGAAAAAAAAUAACUUUCCUCUUUUUCUAGAACAUUUCACUGUGUUAAUACAGUGGGUGAAUCCUUCGUUCAAUGGCAGGAUGUUAAACACUCAAUUGAAAAUCAUGUUUUUCUGGUUGUCUAUAUGUUUAAAUGGCAUUUUCUGAUGCUAGAGGACACAUCAUGGGAAAACUAAGAGCAAAAUUGCAUUUCUGAGUAUUUCCGCAUUCAAAUCACCAUGAACCUCUGGCAGAACCAAAUGGCAGAUUUAGGCAUACUUGGAUUUUCUACGUCACAAGUCCAGGCUCUGCCCCCAUACCCUUAGAAGACCCUGCCAGACCCUGAGAAGUAGAUAGGAAGGUGGCAGAACAAGUGAGUGCGUUAGCUGAUUGCAAUGCCAAAUAGAAAUCUAAUUAGGAUAUUAACUUUCAUCAUGCCCCUAAAGACAUUAGUUGAAUUAAUUAGAAGUAGUUGAAUUAGUAGAAGUAGCAGGCAACAUUCAAGCUGAACAGCUCCUAUGUUACCUGCUACUUCUGCCACACCAGCAAUGUUAGGCUACAAGCAAGUGUGAAAAGGAAUGUGCAGAACAGUGCUGUCCCGCCCAUGACUAAGAGGCAAAUUGCUAAUGAUCUACUAGAGCUCUGCAGAAGAAAAGCCCUUUAAAAUAACACAAGUAAUGUGAUUUUAGCUAUAAACUACAUAAUCAUAUAUGAAGCUUAUUGGAGUGGGACUUAAAAGUGUUUAGAAUAAGUGUUUCCUCCUUAACAGUUCAAUGACCACUGCCCAUUCAUACUUUUUAUUGUUGUAUGGUUCUAUAUCAGCCUGUACGUAAGGCUAUAGCCAGAACCCUAAAAUGCUUUUCAAAUCAAGAACAGUCAUAUAGGUCUGCAUAUUGUUGUUGACAUUUACAUGUAGUUAAUAGACAAGUCCCAUGUAGCUCAGAUUGGAAGUAUGUCAUUUGAUGACAUGCAUUAGUAUAAAGUCAAUGGGAAAUUACACACAUUAGUCAGCAUACCCUUUGAGCAUAUCGUAGGUUAUACAUUAGUAUGUGGGUUUGGAAAUAAAUUACGAGACUAUCAAUAAUUUAUUUAACAAGUUAACAUCACGCUAACAAUGAAAAAAACAAUAUACUCGUAUAUAAUGCAGAGAGGUACUCUGCAGUGGUCACCAUACUGGCAACAUGCAGUCAGUCUACCAGAGACAGGCUUUUAGCCUCCACACAAAUAUCUACAUUGUACCCGCCCAGCCAUGGCUCUGAUUUACCAGGCUUGUAAUCUUUAUCACUUGGAAACUAAUGCGUUACAAAAUAAUUAAUUUUCCAAACAGUUGGUGUUGUGAAAGCCCUGAGCUAUUCAGGCCAAACCUGUUUUUUGAACCAGGCUGUGUAAUAAAUGUAGCGUUUUGUUCUCGUGUGUAUGUGGUUUCAGGUCUUUCUGCAGUCAGCCUCAGGUGGACACUUGGGGAACUGCAAUUUGUGGCACUUGUGCAUUGGCUUUAUUCCUUAAAGCCUGAGGUUACCUUUCGGUCUGUCCAUACCCCACAGAUAUCAGUGCUUCCUUAGGAAGAGCUUAACCCCACACCAGUAGUCAGAAGGAUGGAGAAAACAGAGAAUAUCAGAGCAUCACAACUGCAUAGAAACUGCAUGUUGUUUAACACUUAUGCUGUUUAACACCAAAGUGCAACCUCUUUUUCCUCUGGAAAAAAACAAAAAACAGACUGUGUCUGCUAUACUGCUGCAAUUUAUUUGUAUUCAUCUAGAAAUUCAAGGGAUGGCAAUGGUCAAACAGUAACUUACACAGGACUGGGAACAUUUCUGAUAACAGACAACUUAUCUGACAUUAUCUCCAAAAUGUUUGUUCCUGACUUGACCAACACGUUCUCUUGCAGAGGAUUGUGUUUGCAUUGAGAUCAGCACACCGGUUCAUUAGGUGAAACGUCUGCGGCUAUAUGUGAGGUGAUGUGUAACCUUUGACCGAAGACUGUUUUUCAUAGCUAGGUCAUUCAUCUUCAUUUUCUCUGGGUGGUUACAGUGCAGUUGAGCUUUAAUUCAAACAGCUGAGGUGUUUGGAUAGCUUGCUCCAUUGAGCUAAACACACCCAAGCUGUCUGAAAUGACACCCAUCAGUCAAACUUUGUUUCAAUAAAGGAUCAGGUUAAGUUCAUGUAAUCACUUACUGUAAUUGAACUUUCAGGAUCACAUUCUUCAGCAGUGUAAAAAUAAGGAAACAGGCUUGUCAUGAAUAACUCAAGAGAGCUGGAAAAAAAAAGAAGAAAAAAAAAAACUUUCCAAAUCCUCCACUUCAGCAAAAAGAAGAAUGAACUUCCACAUAAAAGAUGGCUCAUAUAAAUGACUGUCUGUGUUAGGAGGAGAAGAAGCAUUAUUUGAAGUGUUUCUUUUUUUUCCCUUCAGUAUGUCUGAUAGAAAGUGAACUGUCCUUCCAGCGACUAUAAAUCUCAGGGUAUUAACGUGGUGGAGGAGCAUUCAAAUCAGCUCAUUCCCGCAGCAGUCGAUGGCUAGCCUCUCAGGGACGCUGAUUGACAUUUUAUACAGCGCCUGUAGUUUAGUGGUAUUGAUGGCAUUCAAUUUAACAGUAUAUUUUUUUAAUAAGGGUGCUGCCAGAUGCCUGGUGCUUCCAAAGUGCUCUUUCAGAGAGAGCGAGUUGAAGAGAAAGUGAUUGAGACACAGAGAAGGUCAGAACUUCGUGUUGCGCUCUCUCUGAAGCAAUUAUCUUAAGAUACUUGCCUUUUUUUGCAGGGCUGAGUAAACACAUUGCUCUAAGAGUUUAACUUCUUUUACUGAUUGGCUCAGUACUCCAGGACACUUAUAAUGAGACAAUGACUGACUCUUUUUGUCAGGUGUAAUUCAGAGGUGUCAAAGGCAUUAUCAGGUAGAGCAGAAAAAAAUUAAAUUACUGCAUGAUAAAAUAUUUCUUUUUUAUAACACAAAUAAGGAAAUCCAAGUUGAUAAGUUUGCAACCAAAAGAAACCAGUGAACCCAUGGUAGCCCUAUGGAGGUGUCAGCACCUUUGCUCUUGCUUGUUUCAGAGUGUCUUUUCCCCCCAGUUUGGAUUUGUCUGCAAGUUUAGGGAAAAACUGAGCUGAUGUCAUGAGACUGAUGUGAUUGGUCUGAAAUAUGUUUAUAAUAAGACCUGAAAUGUGUGAACACCUCAGAUUGUACUCCUUAUCGUUGUUGAAUGUAUUUUGAUGUGAUUUACAGUGUGUUCAGUGCCUCUGCAUUGUUGAAGGACCAUUACACAUUUGCAGGAGGAAUGCUACAGUAGUCAAAAUUGGCAAAACCAGAGAUCUGCUGAUCUUUGCAGAGGUGGUUUAUCAGGACAAAAAUGCAUAUGGCAGUUCUUACUUGUGCAGCAGAGUCUGAGGGCUUUGAUAUUUUAAAGUCUGUUUGCAUUGGACGGAAUUAAGGUCUGAAAAAUUUUGAGUACGGACAUUUAAGGUGUUGAAAGUCAGCUUUGUCCUCUUCUCAUAUCAGGUUUUGGGUGCAGCAACUGUUUCUAUUCAUGUUUCAUCAGUCAGGCUGCUUCCACAAGAAUUAGGCUGCUGACUCUAAGCUCAUAAUGUCCACUUGUCCUUUCAAACAGAUGGAAUUAUUAUUAUUUUUUUUCCUUUUUUUUCACUUGGGUCAAACACAAAGAUCAGACUUUAUUUCAUAUUUGUGCUGGGGCCUGUAUCUGUAGGAAACAGCUCAGUAAAGAAUGGGCUGCAGAUGCUCCAUAUGUGAAUGAUGUCUCUGCUGUACAAAUAACUAGCUUUGCUGGUCUGAAUACUCAUGGCCAUUUUGCACACAGUAUUGAGCCUAAGAGUUUUCAAAGAAUAUGACAGGGUCUUGUGUCCAAACAACAGAGAAAGGCUGCAUUAAUUUGUAUGACAUGCCAUUGCCCUCUCCCCAGCCAUCCCCUUUAUGAAUGCCAUAGGGCAUCCACUUAGUCUAGACACUCGACCACACAAGGCGACACUGGUUGCCCUAGUCUUAGACACUGCCAUCUGUGCGUGCACGCUGCUGAGUCUGUGUACACCGAACCACUAACACGAAAGGAAAAAGAGAUUCAUGUGGCGCACACAUGCACCACGUGGCUCUGACAGAAAGAGAACGAGUGUGAGACACACCAACACCCCCCCACCCCACCUCGCCUGUGGGUACAAGGAAUCUGUGGCAGACAGUGUCACCCGCCCUGGCUACUGCUUUAAUUAAAGCUCUAAUGAUAGGCUUUCAACUUAUCAUCACACAUAAUCGCUCGGCGCUAGUUAGCUCUGGCACAAUUGCAACCAUCUGCUCUGCUAAGAACACAUUCUGAUCAUUCUUUUUAUAGCGCCAGUAGUUCACUUACAGUAUUUAUAUUAGGAGACCCCCAUUAUGUGACAGUCUGUUUAAAUGUUGAACAUUAAUGGGGCACAUCUGUGUUUGAGGCACUUAGUUUAGUAACACUGAUGAACAACUAAAAGUCAUCAGAAAAACUGGAAUAAACUGUGUGACUUGAUUUAGUGUUAAUGUUUUUUAAAGAACCUAUCAAAAUUUUUUGUAUUUUUAUUACUUGAUUCAGUAUUUCUCCUGCUGCUGUUAUCAAUUUUUCAUUGGGUGGAUUUAGAUGUCUUGUUCUGAAAUCAGUUGAUGCAUUUUGGCACACAAUAUUUGAGUCAAAGAGAAGUGUUUGUAAUUUAGGCCUUUUUCGCAGAUCACUGCAUUAUCAAACACCGAAAUUUACAUCGAACAUUUAAUUAUUUAGCAAAGAUGGAAGAGUAUUUUCAAACUUUAAUUUGUCAAACUGAUUUUAAACUUAGCACUUAGGGGUAUAUCAAAUAUUUUGUGCUGUAUAAAUAAAAUUAGAUCUUGACAUGAAAGGGGGCUCCGGGUUGGGAUUGAACGCCCGCUGGAGGAGGUCUGAGUAUGUAUGGCUCAUACUGCCUGGCUAACUGUGCCUCAUGAUUGAGUUUUUUUAAAACAUGAACUUUGUUUUAUACCAGCUGUUUAAGAUAGUUAAAAGUAAAAUUUAACAAGUCAGCCUGCAGGAUGUUUCAGCAUCUAUAAAACAUAGACGUUUACAUAUUUUAAUCCAAACACACACAAUCAAGUUGAUAAAGUGAUCUGCCAAGUGUUCAGUUCAUAUGUCACUCUGACCAGAUUUUUUUUCGACAGUUUGGAUAGCACAAGUUACGUGGAAUGUGAUUUUUUCAAAUCAUGUUCUUUUAGGAUAUAUAGGUUCAAAAUCAGGCACAGGUCAACCAAAAUAACUCAUAAUGAUAACUGUAAUACUUCUAUGCUAAACCUAUAAUGUUUUUUAGCAUUUCCCACUUUGUUGUGAGGUAAAAGCAAAUAUAAAAUUGUAAACAUAGCUCAAAGCUUCACAGCUAUUUUUUAUUGUUUAAAAUCAUGCAUCAUCAAAAACAUCUUUUUCUCUUUCUCUCUCUAUUCUGUUGUUGCAAUAUGAUGAAUUGUGAUACCAAACAAAAAUGAUCUUUAUUAACUUUUCUAUUUGAGUUUUACAACCCCUGUCAAUCAGCGCUGUUAUUCUGUAAAACAAGAAUAGGUCAACACGUAACCAACUAUACACCAGCUAAUGAUACAGUGCUAGAAAGCAACAACAUUCCCUGUGAUAACACUACCAGACCAAGGGGGGCAGGGAUCAGCUACAGCACAUGAAACAUGGGCUGUGUCUCAUUUCAGCGAGCGCACCGUUGAACGGCACAUUUUAAGUGUGCGUGAUGUCAUCAAGCGGAGUGAACGGUGUCCCAUUUGUGCCCCAUUUGUGCCCCUUGAAAUGCUGAGUGCGCUUCAAAUUCGAAACCACACUGCCCCCGCCCCUUUUUCAAGUGUGCAUUUAUGCUACUUUGGUGGCCUUGGUAUCCCAGAAUUCUUUGCGUGCUGCUGCACAGCUGCGCAUUUCGGGUGAGUGGCCGGACUCACUUGGAGACGCAGCGCGUCUUCAAAGAAAAUACAAGAAAUCCAAAAACACAACUCAGCUCAGGCUGAGCGCAUGAUCUCAUAACUCACUAAAAUCUGCAGCUGCAAAUCAAACAUUAUACUCUUUAGAGACCAACUAAUCCGCUCUGCUACCACAAUCAAAAACAUUAGAAAUAAGGGAGCUGACAAAAGCGGGUCAUUCAGAGAGAUUUUGUGGUUUUUCAAGAAACAAUCCAACUGAUGAUCAACAUUUGUGAUCCAGAGGGAGUCGAGCUCCGACGAGCACCACGUCUCUGACACCGGCGGUAACCUACACCUGCAGAGACACCAACACCUUAUUAUGGCAUAUGGAUUCAUAUCAUAAACUAAAGCUCAAUGUUAUUCACGGAUAUUCACGGCUGCAUUGAUGGAUUUAUCCACAGCAUAUCCAUAUCUGCCUCCACAAACGCAGCGAUUUUCUCCGAGUCCACCUGUUUGAUUUCCGUGAAAAAGACACAUUUCUCAUAUAUUCUUUUUAAGUCUUUAUACUUAUGACAAUGUAAUGCUGAUGUGCCAAAGGUUGAAGUAUCUGCUUGUUUGUCAAACCUAUACUGAAGCAGUUUCUUAAAAUGCUUCAUGGCCCUAAUUUUAACAACUCUCCUUUGAAAUAACAGGUAACCUUAGGACUUUAUUCUAAUAAAUUAAUGACUUUAUUCUCGUAAAUUUACGACUUAAUUCUCUAUAUGGCCCUCAUAGUCUUUCAUUCAAAACAUGAAAUCAUUGGAUGAAUUUUGUGGUAAUGAUCUGUGCUUGUAUGUAUCUAUUGUCUGUGCUAGGUCGUACAAUUAAAAAAUAACUGUUGCGCUCCGCAGCUUUUCUUUAAGUCAGUCGUGACGCAAGCCUGAGGGCGGGGACAUUUGGCAACUCAACCAGGAAGUCCUCCGAACAGUAGUCCGUCCCAUUUCACAAUAACCGGACCAUCUCACUCAGGGUACUCAAGUCCACAAAACGGCAGUGCGCUCAGCUAAGUGCGCUUGAGCGCUCUCAGCCUGAUGUGGUCUCUGAAAUGAGACACAGCCAUGGUACACACAGCUGCAGUAGAAUCAGGGAUGUUACCACAGAUAUCCACCACUCAGAAGGAAAACAAACUGAGAUGCUUAUUGAGGAAAAAAGAAAGAAAAUCCAGAAAAGAGGAAGCCCUAUUUUUGCUAUUGGACACUACCUGAAUAUUGGUUGUUUGAUCUUGAGGGGAAUAAAAGCGGCAGUGAAGUGGACUUUGAAAUAAAUAUGCAGUGUUGCUCUGUGAAGCAUUCUCUCCAGCAUGGUAACUACAACUAUUAUAUCACAUAAACCAAUUUUGAUGAUAGCACUUUUUUCUCAAUUUUACAAUUUCAAGCAAAAUCAAAAAGCAAUUGAGUUUUUGUUUCAUGCAGAGAACAAUUAGGUGUAUUUUUUGUGAAUAAACCUGGGGUCAAAUACAGAGCACUUAGGGAUUAUUUACUAGCUGGGAGACGCAGCCACAGUCUCGCUGACAGACAAACUGCACCCUGAGAGCUGAUGUAAUCCUCCUCCAUGUUGGGAGCCUCAAAAGCUCUGCUGAUAGAAAAAGUUUUGGCACAGUGAAGUGAUGAGAACAGCUUGCCUCCACUGAUGUAAAUCCUGUCUGUGUUUACUGAGGCUUCCUAAUCAAAGGAAGGAGGGAGAGAUGGAUAGUCGCAGGGAGGACGUGAAAUGAACAGGAAGCUGCAGAUCUGCACAGCUGAGUCACUGUAUGUGUGUGCUGUGGGGUUAAUAGAGUGAGUAUGUGUAGGGGUCUAAUGUGGGGGGUCUAAUGGCCCGUAUAGAGAUUUUAAUGGUUUGGUUUUUCAUGCCAUUCUGAAUUCAUAUUAGGGCAGGUCACUUGCCGAGCACUUAAGUAUGCCUGUGUAUGUAUUAAGGCUUUAAUUUUGCUGGCUGCCGCCUACAUUAGAGUUCUUUGAUGGUGAGAUGAACCACCUUUUUUUAUUCUCAUUGUUUAUCUUUAUUUUUACAUUGGUCUGGUCUCCUUCAAGUUCACCCUGUGGCACACCACUUCCUUCUUCUUCUUCUUCUUUCUUCUCUUUCUAUCUCCUGCCUGCAGCUUAAAGUGAACAGAGGAUGACACGAAUAACAAAAGGUUUACUGUCGGCAGUGUUUGACAACCUUUCCCUCCGGUGCUCUUUAAUCAUUCAUGCUUCAUUAACUGGCUAUCUGUUAUCACUCUGCAUCACACUUUGGAAGAGGAUGAGAGGUGGAGAGCUGUGUGGCAACAAUCCAUUUCCCUCAUACAAAAUGUGGCCUUUUAUUUUUCUAAGUAGGCAAACUUAGGGACCUGAGGUCUUUACUUUACAGGGUUACUAUCGGACAUAGAGGGUACAUUCUUUAUCAUUGGAUAGUAACAAGAGAAAAUUGUUCACGAUUCUUUAUUGAGCAGUAAAGAACAGUAAAGGAGGUUUCCUGCACUGCCUUCUUAAUAGGCUCUGUAAAAAGCUUUUGGGUGCUGUAAGGAAGCAAUUAAAACUCAGACUGCAAAGUUCAGGUCUUUAGCACUGUGUCAGACCAAACACACUCAAUAUUUCUGUAAUUGUUUUGAUUAAUAAUUUGGUGACUUGUGUAUUUCACAUGUGGUCAUUUCAUUUGUGUCAUUUUUUUCAAACAUACCUCCCAGGUUAGAAGUCAGGUUAGGUGACAACUAGAGUUUAACUCCUGGAAAAACUCAAUUAGCCUAACUUAUUCAUGAAGAAGCUUUAUUUGAAUCGAGCCCCAGUCUAAAUCCACACAACUAUACAGUGUACUGUGUUUUGCUCAGCUACUGUAAGCUCCUGAGAGCCCUGCAAUCCAGCAAUAAAACAUAAGAAACUCUGAGACACACACCUCAGCUCCUGGUGCAGGCCCUUGUAAUAUCACACAUUGACUGGUGCAACUCCUUACUGGCAGGCCUCCCUGCAUUCACAGUCAAACCUUUGCAGAUGAUCCAAAAUGCAGCAGUCUGCUACAACAGCUCAUGUCAGUCCUUGGUUCAUCUCUGCUGGCUUCCAGUAGCACACCUGCAUCAAAUAUACUGCUCUACUUAUUACCUACAACACUACAACUAAAUAUCCUCUAGUCUACCUGCAGUCCCUUAUGCAAGUCUACAAUCCUUCCCAUCUGUUAUGCUCUAAAGAAAGGUGCCGUUUCCUUGUGAACUCACGUUGGUAAUGCAGUAAACUCAGGGCUCGACAGUGCGAAUGUUUCACUCGCAUUUGCGACUAAAAAUAGUUGUGUGCGAAUUGUAAAAUAUAUUUAGGGGCACAUAUGUGCUUAAAAACAUAUGCAAUGAAUGUUUUUUUCAUGGAAACACCGCAGCAAAGUUAGUUUUAGGUUGGAUAUUCAACUGACAUGCACACCUGAUCUACCAGUGUCUUCUCACUCUCCAUAACUGGGAAUGGCAAGAGCAGCAUGGUUAAAUCUACUCGGCAUCCUCGCUGUUAAUGUCAAGUGUUGAAUAAGGGACCAUCAAUAAAUUACCUCUGAUGUUCUCAAAAAAAAGGCUGUUUUCCUUCAAUAGCUUCCAUAUCAUGUGACCAAUUAACCUAAAAUUGAUUUCAAAUAAUAGUACUAAGGUCGGACGAUAAGACAUGCUUUUUAUUUUCCUCAUUUGUCCUCUAAAUUUCUUUUUUGUUAGAUUUAAAGGCAAAUUUUGAACUUUUUUUUUCAAAAGCUUCCAUGUCAUGUUACAAAUUGACCUAAAAUUGAUUUAAAAAAAAUUGUACUUAUAUUGACCAAUAAGACACACAUUAUUUAAUCAAUUUUUCUUGUUCCCCUAAAGUUCUGUGUGUGCUCCUUACUUUUUCAACUGCACAUGUGCUCCUUCUGAAAAAAGUUAGUGUCAAGCACUGAAACUCCAGGAUGCUUUUGAGUCAAGUCUCCAGGGCUGUCUUCAAGCACACUUGCUCAAGUCAAGGAUGAGGCUAAAAAGGCUAUAUCUGUUCAGGGAAUAGCUAAUAAAAGUAUUAAUUAAGGGAAAAAAUGCCAUCCGGCUUUGACCCUCUCUGAGUCAUCAUAAGGGUUUGGUUAUAGUUAAAAAGACACAGUGACCUCAAAGCGCUUUGCACUGGACUACUAUGUAGACCCUCCAGGAAUCUGCAGAAAAAAAAACAACCUAAAAUUUCCAGUUCUGAAGCAAACAUAUUUUUUCAUGUCAUAAUAAAGAAAAUAAUAUCUUUUGAAAUGAAUUGCAAAACCAAUACACUAUGAAACUAUCUUAUAAAUCAUCAAUCAACAUCAAUAUUCUCUUUGUCCCCCUUGGGCAGAUUUAUUUGCAGCAACUUCAAAAAAGAAUAUAGUGCAUAUUAUACUGUCACAAAAUGGAGCAACAGUCAGAUAAUAAAUGUAAACAAAUACAAGUGCAGAAUAUUUCACCAAACCAUCAUGGGUGAUGGCUUAGGAAUACAAAUGCCUGGAGCUGUGAUUCUCACACAAAAAUAUAUAUAGCUUUGCUGCUGGCGUCUGAAGAUUUGUCAGAGAAAGCGCUCCAUUUUGAGUGUCCCUGGAGCUGCUUGCUGUCGCUCAUCAUACGCUGUGUUUUUUACUCCAUUAAAAAUAUGCCAUCCGCUCUACAGCCCGCCUUUCCAUCUGGGAUCCUCCUCACACACGCACCAGAUCACACAAGCAACCAGGCGAUGCCAAACCUUUCUGCAUUCGGCUGUGAGUUCCCGUUCCUGUGUAUCUGACCCAUCUAUCUGACCAUGUCAUCGAGCGGCCAGGAUGAAAACUACAUGUAAAAUAUAAUAUUCUGCACCUCACCUCGUAUUACAUGGACUACUUUAAUUUCCACGGAGGACUCUGAAAUCUGCGAUAAUUUCCGCGAUCACGGAAUCGCAGAUUCCUGGAGGGUCUAACUAUGGUAUAUAGACUGACUUGUUAACAAAUUAAAGAUUUAAAGAUUAAAAAGAGCAUAGCGUGACUUGUCAGUAUUAACUAGGUUGUAGUCAUAAACACAGAUGAGCACAGGUCUCCUCUAAAGCUCAAUGUGAUGGUGUCCAGCCAGUGUGCUAUUUAUUCCUGGACUUGUUGUUUUAAUUCAUUGGAGAAUAAAUCGUCCUUGAAUGAUGUAAUCGACUUGAAAAAUUGUUUAUGCCUCUCUUGCACUUCUUGCGCUUGACUCUCCUUUGACCAUUAAUGACUGUGAAGCUCAGAUAUAAAUGUGGGUCUGCUUAUGAGCCAUGACAUACAUUACAAGCAUCGGUCUUCAAGGCUGCCGCUUAACCAAUGUAUCAUGACAGGCAAUUGACUCUGUGUGAUCUCUCCUUUUCCUCUGGCUGAACCGUAGAGAUAUGAUCAGAGCUGGGCUGCAGAUGUGUGCCUGGGAAGUGGUGGCAGUCCACUGGAGUUAAAAUGUGCCCCCGAGAGAAGGAAGUGUAGUUUUUUAUCAGAUGGAAAGAUCAGAGGAGACGAAUAAUUCAGUUAUCACAUCUGCAGUGAUUACAGGGACAGGACGCAGUCUGCAGAUAAGGAUCUGAGGACUUCUUAGAGACUCAGCGCAGUUAUUCGGAAACUGAAAAACCCACAUCUCAACACAGCAGUGCACAGCGUCCUCCUUUCGCUGUGUCAUCGGUCUCUUUUUAUCUCACCUUGCUGAAUCUGUUUCAUCUUUUCUCAUUUUGUCUCAUCGGUUUGUCAGGAGUCAUCUCAUUAAUGAAGCAGUGAACUUGCAGGAGACGUCCUGCUGCUGUUUCAUCUGCUCUUAUUUUAUCUCACCCUGACUUAUCUUAAGUUGUCGUCUCUCAUCUUGUCUGACUUAGUGUGGGCAUGGAUUUGUUUCAUGACCCUGUGCGCUCCCUCUUCUUGGUUUCAGGUAGUUUGAGCAGAAAGCAAAUAAGUGCUGCAGUGUCUUUCCUGGCUUUAACACUUAAGAAGUUAUGCACUUGUGUUAAGCAAGUUCACAAACACCACCUCAUCUCAUUUGUUCUUAUUUUACUGAUUCAUUUUUAUAUGUUAGUAAUGUUUUUGUUUGUCUUAAUUUGAGGGCAAACUUUUUCAACUAAGCUUAUCUAAUUUUCCUUCUCACAGAUGAAUCACCAUAUUUUCAAGAGGGUCCAAACACAAAAUGUACAAUUCAAUAUGGAUGACAAACACAUAAAAAGAUGCUCAUGCAUCCACGCACCCAUGUACGUGCUAUGGACAACUUGGUUCCGCCUUCCGCCAGUGUAUGAAUUUGAAGCCAAAAAGCUCUCGGUAUUACCAGGUUUUUUCUCCACUUCCUGAAACCAACAUUGUGCAGUAACGUUGUAUGCAAUAUCUGCAAAGACAUUUAUGGGCAGUAGCAACUAGGUAAGAAUUAGUCUUCUUGUUUGAUAUGUGGGUAGCCAAAAUAACUUCCUUUGACAACAUUUGACUUAGGAGACUUCUAGGUCAAUCCAGAAGCCCUAUCCUAUUGGUGGAAUGAUGGUAGCCUUAAACGACAUGAUGGUGCCUCACAAGAACCCCAUUUGUCAAAUUUUGAAAAUCAAAUCAUGUCAUCUUGAACCUUGUUUUACUCUAGAUAUCCCUUGGUUGCAUUUUGAUUCCUACCCCCCCACCAAAACCCUCAAACAUGUUUUUUUUUUGUUGUUGUUGUUCUUAUUUUGCCUUAUGAUGUAUUUCCUGUUUCUCUCUGAUCUCGUCAUCUCAUCGCCUUAUGUAAGUCAAUCACCUGGUUCCACUCUAGUUUAAAAGUAGUCCCCUUCUCUCAUGUCAUCUCAUCACAGCUCUUUCAGUGACUUUUAUUCACUUUUUGCUGUUGCGUUUGGUUUGUCUUGGGUUGUCUUGGAUUCUCUUGCAUUUUUUCCCAUUAAUUUUCUUCUGCGAUGUCUUUAGUUACAUGUCCUAACAGGAAUCCUUUUUAGUGGGGCGAGAUAAACCAUAAAGCAUAUAUCUUUCAUCUGGGCAGAAACUGCUUUGGAUGUUUUCACAGACCAAUCAUUUAUUUAGUGUUUAUCUACUUCAGUCUGACAUGAAGACUUACGAACCUUAUUAAAAUCCAGUAAAUAAAAUCUGGAAAACUGAUGUCAUUAAAAUUCUUUCAAACUUAGAUCGUCUCUCUCUGUAUAUAUUUCAAUGUUGAUUCAAGGUUUUGCUUGAUACCGUACCAAAUUAAAAGGCAGCCAGCCACGGUCUGUUAAGCAUUAUAGACUGUGAAUGCAAACUGUGACACUGUUAUAAAGACAGGUUUACAUCAAGAGAUAUGAACAGUUCCGUGCUCUCUCUCUCUCUCUCUCUCUCUCUCGCUCGCACGCACACACACACACACACACACACAGAGGCACACAUUAUCAUCUCUUUCUACUUGUUGAGACCUCCAAUCUUUCAAUCAUAUCCUUCAUGUAAAUCACCUUCUUUUGUUGGAGCCACCUGGGACCAAUGUGACAAACUGUCUCACUUUCUUUAUCGCAGUAAUUAGCUGCCUCCUCUGUCCGACUGCUGGCUAACACACACACACGCACGCAUGCACACACACACACACACACACACACACACACACACACUGGAAAGAGUAAAUUCCUCUCCUUUCUUUCUCAUUUUCCUUUUUCUGUUUCUUGUACAGCUCACACUUGUCAGCCUGGUCAUUAUCCUGUCAUGUUGGCUUGCCAGAGCUCAUCACAAACGGCCAAAUUACUGCUGAGACAGAUGACACAGUGUUAGUGCCUACAUGUGCAUGUGUGCUUGUGUGUGUUUGUUUAUGUUGGUCUUUCUUUAUAGCAGUCACUGCCUCUGCUUUAACUGGAAUUUGGAUUGAAAUCUGAACUUUUUGUCUUGAAGCCUGUCAAGUCAACAGGAAAGGAAUGCUUUGACCGAAACUUCAAAACGUUUUUCUGCAGCACUCCCUUAAAUUCAACAUCAUUGCAAAAAAUAGGAACAUUUGCUAUGUUCUUUUAAUUCAGGUGGCAAAGUUACUCAUUAAAGAGCAUAGAGGUUGUUUUUUUCGGACACAGGCUGAUCUUUGGUUCCUACUCUUACAUCACUACGUCUGCACAGCUGCAGUUACCUCAGCUUUUUAAGAAUGCUGUUUUGACAUUUUUCCUCCUAAUUUAAUGUUUACUAGUGCCUUGUCUAGUUUAAGGUUUAAUUCGUACGCAUAUGUUGCCUUAAUAAGAUUAUAAAGCAUCUUGAAAAAAUAUUUAGCAAAACUUUUUAGAGAAUUUUUUUAUGAUUUAAAUCUGCUUGAAAGUUUUGCUCACAUCUUUUUUAGUGUUUAUCUACUUCAGUCUGACAUGAAGACUUACGAACACUUAUUAAGCAUGAGAUUUUCAGAUCAGGGUGAACUAACAGCUUAUCUAAAAUUAGGGCUCCCCCUGGUUUAUAAGGACAUGUUUGCUUGCAGGGCUGCCACUAGGAGCCUUUAAAGACCGAUGCUAAAUCCCCACCAGUUGCUCAUGUCCUGACAUAUAACAGAUGUUGACCUUUACAAGGCACAAGAAAGAGAGGUCCUCCCAAUGGCAUGAGUACAUUUAUUAUUCAUAAUUAUCAUGAAACACAAAUAUUAUGAUACCACACAGGGAGUUGUCUGUCCUUUCAAAACAAACCCAAGUGAAUUUCACAAACCUUCGAGUUCUGGCUGCAGCAAGUGAUAAGAACUUUGUAAAAUGUUUCCAUGAGCAGAAAGAGCCUGUCUUAGAGAUCCAAAAAUGUAAAAAUCCUAUUUUCGAUGAAAGAACAUCUGCUUCAUUUUAAACUGAAAUUAGAAGUUCAGAUUUGUUGUUGCAUCCAUUUGUACAUAAAUAACUAGAGUUUUUUACUCUUUACAGACGUCACAGACAAAGGAGCCUGGAGCGAUGGGCAUAGGGCAUAAUGGGGGAUGCAGUUUAGGACCAAGACAUAGUUGUUUUCAUCAUGACACAUGCUCUUUCAAACCCAACUCACUGCACCCCUGUAGAGUAGGAAAGCCUUACCUGUGCUUAAUCUGUCAGUGUGAACAGGGAGUUUCUGCAGCCAGAGUCCACCUCUCUGUGAAAUUUCCCUGGAUAAAUAAAGUUUAUGUUUUUUGGCGGUAAUACAGACAUCAGAGCUUCUCAGGAAGACAAGCAGUUGGAUUUAUGGCACGGGGAUGAAGUCUGUGGACACAUAUUAAAAAAAAAAAAGAAAAAAAGAAGGACAGAGCACAGCCAAACAUAUGGUUUGGCUCUGACUAAGUACUCCAGAUGGGGGCUGAACACACAGAUGGCACACCUACUGUCAGGUAGGUAAAGGUUGAUUGUCAAAUAUAGAGUGUUUGAAUACUGGAGAGACAGCUGGCUGUCAUGGCAAGGAAAUUUAGCUGUGUACUGUAAUAAUUCAAGCUAACGAGGGACAACUGUGUUCCCUAAAGAUGUUUUUAUAUGCAAUGGUAAUUCAUGUAUAUAUAUAUAUAUAUAUAUAUAUAUAUAUAUAUGAGGAAAGAAGGAUACACAGAAAGAGAAACUGCAAAAUGCCUAAAGGUGUUUAACAAAGGAGUCCACCACACUGAAGAGACGAGAGGAACCUGUAAGUUAUCAUGACAGAAAAAGACCUGGACGAAAGAGAGUUACUACAAAAUCAGAGGAUAAACAUAGCAUUGUCACCAGUAAGAGAGAUCGGCACCAAAAAUAAGGGAGGAAAUCAACAUGACAAGGUCGAAACCCAUAUCUCUGACAACUGUGAAAUGACGUUUGAGAAAGGCUGGUCUGAAGGGUUGUGUAUCUGCAAAAAAACACUACUUCGUCCACAGAACAAGAAAAAGAGAUAUGAGUGGGCAAAAGCUCACAAAAAUUGGACUUAUGAGAAACAAGUUGUUGUUUGGUUCAAAACGCAGAGUCUAUGUCCGCAGACAAACUGGUGAAUGUCUGAAAGCACCAUGUGUUACACCACAAUUCAGCAUGGAGGUGGUAGUUCAUGGUAUGGGGAUGUUUAUCAGGUGAUGGAGUAGGAGAUUUGUUUGAAGUAAAGGGUAUCAUGAAGAAGGAACAGUACCACUCCAUCCUCCAGCACCAUGCUGUUCCAUCUGGACUCAGACUUGUGGCUCAUAAGUUUGUUUUGCAGCAAGACAAUGACCCUAAGCUCUCUGCCAAGCUCUGUCAGGGUUACCUAGACAAAAAAGAAGAGGGAGGUGUUCUUCAAAAGAUGGUUUGGCCCCCUCAGUCUCCAGACCUUUCUGAAUUGAGCUUGUGCUGGAUGAAUUGGAUUGAUCGGUCAGAAAAACACGUCCCACGAAUCAGCAGUCUCUUUUUAAUGAAAUUAAGAAAGCUUGGAAUGCAAUCCCUGGAACAUACCUUAAAAAAACUUGGAAUGAAUGCCUGGUAUAUGCCGAGCUUUUGUUAAAGCCAGAGGAGGUUACUUUAAAGAAAGCAAAGUCUAAGCAACAAUAACUCAAAUACCUAAUAAUUAUAGUCAAAAUGUCUUCUGAUAAGUUACUCUUUACACAAUAGUCAUGUUUAUUGUGUUGCAAAUUAUAUGAAACUAUGAUUUUUUUUUGUACAAAUCUGAUCUUGCUUCCAAACUUUUGGAUAUAUAUAUAUAUAUAUAUAUAUAUAUAUAUAUAUAUAUAUAUAUAUAUGUAUCUGCCAUGUCAAGGUAAAACACUGUUUUCCUGGAGAAUUUUGAAGACUGUAACAUGUCUCUGUGCAGUGUUGUAAUGCAUGGAGUAAUAAAAGCCUACUGAAUGUUGAAAUAAAAUUAAAAAAAUAAAUACAAUUAUAAUCCGUGUCCUAUAUAACAUUAACCCAUUCAGCUAUUGUCCAUGUAGAUGACUGUACCCUCAAAAUUUUUCCAUUCUUUUGUGGUGUUAUCUGCUGCAUGCAUACAGCUGGCUUACUAACUUUGUAAUCUAAGUCUGUAUAAAAUAAACCAGAAAUUGAGAUUCUGGAAAAAAAGAAAUCCUGAUGCUUUCAAGAUGGACAAAGUUUUACUUAAAGUUUGAUGGAGAAUUUCAGUUUUUAUUUAUUUAUAUGUUUGACAAGUAUAAUGACUCUGUGACAUCCUGCAUGCUAAAUUUUUCAACAGUGUUUCACUAUGGCCAGUUAAUUAAUAUAAAUAAGCUGUUAAUUUCACAACACUAAUGAAGUUGUUGUUGUUUUUUAUGUCGCCAGCUGGACCCCAUGAAUUACAACAACCUAUCCUGAAUAAAGACUGUGCAGCUCUAAUGUAAUAUAUUUUUUUGUUGUUGUAGUUUUUUUACUACCCUUUAUAGCUUUAAUUUUGCAAGAUAUGCUUUUCCCCAUUCUCUGCAUCUUUAGAGCUCACAUAAAUAUUUACAAACCCCCUGCCUGGUUUUCAUUAGGGGGGUUAAAUCCUCAUGCUGCUGACCUGAUCAACCCAUUCAGAUCAUGAGGCAGUGAGAAAACACAAACACACUAAAGCUAAUGAUGCAUAAGUAUUCCCUCACUCAGGGGCACUGAACCUGCAAUAUUUUAAACAUCUAUUAAAACAAAAACAAACAAAAUCCAAAUCUGGAUUAUAUGAUUGAGGACUUUGUCGUGUCAGGGUGGAAAUAGGCACCGAGGAAUCUGGUCAGCAGUUUCUGUGUAGGCCCUUCUAGAAUUUCUGCUGCUACCGGCUAUCAAACAGUCUGAGAAAGUUUAGACUAAAAUAUUGACUUAAACUUGAUGAAAACUGAGAUCCACUGACUAAAUCUUGACUUAAAUAACAAAGGACAGAAAGACCAAAAUCAACCACUGUUUACUGAAAAUGUUCAAGACUAAAACUCAAUUUAAAACCUUUAAAAAUUAAUGAACAGCUGCAUUUAAAGAAGGGGGUAUUCUGCAUUUUUGUCAAACUAUACUUCUUUUCUGAUUCCUCUGUAAUAUCUUUACAUGAUAUUAUGGAGACCGAACAUUACAACUUUGCAUUUUUUGUUGUUAAUGAGGAAAAGCAAAGUACCACCCCUUAAACAUCACAGAUGAGUUACUCAUCUAUUUUCUUUUUUGUUUGGACUGAUGGAGCAGCUGAGAACUCAGCACAUUCUUUAUAUGUCAAGUAACAAAAAAGUGAAGGCAAAAGUACAAAGUUGAUCACUUAUCCAAACAACUUCCAUUUAAACAUGCAGAUACAAAAUCUAUCAGUCUGGAUUUGAAAAGCUUUAAAAACAGACACUGGCAUCUGCGGAGCAUGUUUGUAUUUAUACACUUCUGUAUCAAUGAAGCAAAAAUGUUGGAUAUGUCUGCACUCACAAGAAAAAAAAAUCUAAAUGUAAUUAUGACCUGGAUUUCUUUGCAAAUGCUACUUACCAGCUGGAAACUGCUGAUGUGACUCUGACAUGACAUGAGAGGUGCAGCAGCUGAACUCCACAGCAGGCUCAAAAGCUGUGAUGAGUUGUGAUGAGAAGCUCCGUUUCUUUGGGACAGUCCAGCCGGUGAUCUGUGGUGAAUAUUUGCUGUGGAGAACAUAGAGAAAGGCUGUUUUGGCAGUUUCUCUGUGAUUGUUUUAGGCACCUCCUGGCAGGCAUAAAAAUAUUAAACGGGGGGUUUGAAGAUUCAUCCAUCUGAAACGGUAACUGACUUGAGGGCUGAUUAUUUGAGUGAAUUAGUCAGUGGUGCCCUAAAUCAGUAAAAUAUGUUGAGAAUGAGCAAAUAGCCUGUUUCACUGAGGUUUUGUCUCAGUAGUUUGAUAGUUAGCUGAUAAGGAACUAAUGACAAAAUAUCCAACUGACACAUUUAUUCACAUGCUCUGCUUAAUAAAUCAAGUAAUGUAUACUUGAUAAGAAGUCUUUCAAAAAGUCUGUCUGUCAGUAUUCAUUGCAGAAAAGCAGCUAAUCACAAUGCCAAGGGCAGUGAGACAAACCUCAAUUGGUAAGAAACCAGGGCAGAACCUGUGCCAGAAGCACUUUCUACACCAAUAACCUGUCAAAAUCUCUGGUUACAUUGGCUUCUGUUGUCUGUUACAUUUCUGGAGCCUAUAUAGUUGGCAGUAAUGACUCUGUAUCAUGCUGAUUAAUUUAGUCAGGGUUAGUAUAAACUUUGUACAGUAAAUAGCAUCUCCUUGAAUGCAUGCAAUAAAUGUUUAUGAAAAUAAUAGAAAAGUUUAACAAGAACUGUCAAAUGGAGAGCCGGUAACAACCAAUGCUUGAGUGUCAUAGACAGUUUUCAGUGACAGUCGCAGCAAAAUCACGAGAAGAAAAACAGAUGAUUGGAUGUGUUUUUUAUUCUUACUCAAAAACAACAUCUGACCAUUGAUAUAACAUGAUGACAAAAUGACCUAUAAAGCUGUUUUUUCCCCUCAUCAGUGACAGUUCAGAUAAGACGUAUUUGUCACUGUCCAUCAGAUUAAACAAUUAUAACUGAUGUCUAUUCUGCCUCUUAACAAGUUAUUCAUAACUGGAUGAGAGACUAUAAGUGAGGAUUUAGAUCUGAUCAUGUUGUAAAGGAGAGAUGCACUAAUAUUCUUGUUGGCUAGAGGUAUCAGUCUUGAUUUCAGUCUGUUUCAUUACUGACUAAAACUCCUGACAGGUACUUUAAGGAAGAAAUAAUUCUGUAUUUGGUAACUACCCAUAUUCUACUAGUCUAUGCAUGAGCAUCAGGGUCAAACAUAUGCUUGUUUAAAGUGACAGCGAGCAGAAAUGGGUAACCUGAUUAUUCCUCAUUAGCAUGGUAAUUUAAGUUUGAGUCCUACAAGAAGCUGCCCCUGUUUUAAACUUCAGCUCUGAACCAAAGAAACUUGAACUUGACUUUUAAACACAUCUGAAGUUACUAGACUUCUAGGCACAAACAAAUAAGCUACUUAAACUCUUGCAGUAAAAAUGUGGAAGAUACGUUCAGUAUCAACAUUCUGUCAGACGUCCAGAAGAAAAACUUAAUCCAGGCAGUGUUAUACUUUGCCCUAAAUGCUUCUUGCUAAUGCAAAUCAGCUGCAUAUGAAGGUAAUUCGUGGGAGAUAAAGGCUGGCCUGCAGCUUGUUCACACAUGCCAGCCUCUUCUUGGCUGUCCUCAUCUCUCUCUGCUCUACUCUCUCUCCCAUAUGUUUGGGUGUUUUGGUGUUUCUGUGAUUGCAGCCGGCUACUGGCAGCCAAAACAUGAAGUUGUCAUCGCACUUACCACUCUCGUUAAAAACUAAUGGAAAGAAAUGAACUGUGCUCUCUCAAGUGGGUGACGGUGACAGUUGGUAUGUUGACGGGCUGUGGGAUUGGUUGAGGAGUGGGAGCACGCUGAUGGGUGGGUGGUAGUGGGGUUUGGGUUUAAUUAUUGGGAGCUGCAGUCCAGCUUACCUGCGUGUUGGCUGCGCAGAUUUGGGCCACCCUAGCUCGCUAAGUGAGUAUUUGCACGCAAACUGGUGUUAUCUGAUCCACCUCAGUGUCAAGCGCUUCCAUGAGUUUAAAAAUUGAAGAGGGAGGAGGUUCUCUCGCGACUCUCUGCUGGCAGUUUGAUUCAGAUUUUAUUAUCCGUGCUUGGUUCUAUAAUAAGCAGAAACUGUCCUGUCCGAUUAGGCACGCUCAGCGGCGCCCUCCACCCCCCCGACUUGUUCUUCCCCUCAAGACCCCCCCUUCCCCCCCAUUCCAACGCCAUAGUCUCUCUCUCCCUUGCUCUCUAUCAGUCUGUCUGCUUGGGAAGACAGCAGGAGGAGAGCUGCUCCAUAUACUUAACCCAUUACUUGCUGUAUUUGCGAUUGCUUUUAUCUCAUCAAACUGUAGGGCCUGCCCAGUCUUUUCUGCACCGGGCAAAGUUAUGAGCUGCAAUUUGAAAGUUUUGCUGUCUUCAGAUUAUUUUUACAUCAAAUAAUAUUGAGUAGGUGUCUAGACGGAUCUUUUUUUCUCAUCGACUGCACCUCUGUCUACUUUAACUAGUUAGGGAUGACCCCCGAUUGUGGACUUGGACUUGUUUCCUUUUGUAGAGCUGUAGCUUGUCAAACAAUCCAAAUAUUAAACAUGGUUGCAAUCCAUGAAAUCAAAAGAAAAAAAGAAAGAAAAAAAUUCAAAAGAAAAAAAAAAGAAAACUAUAUUCUGUGCUUAAUCACAAAUUCUGAGUAAGAGUAGAAAACAAUCAUCAAGAACUGGCCCCCUUUGCUUGGUCCCAUGUGUUUGUCAGCCAGCAGGUGUCUUGGUAAGUCUGGCUGUUGUUCUAUCGUCUCUAGAUCUGCAGGAAUAUCAUUAACCAAUCAAUCUGUAGCUAAAAGACCUCUGUAACAGAGCCUGUGUGCUGUGUCUUUAAAUGAACUGUGUAAUGACAUUAAACAAAAAUAUGUCAGGCUUUAUGAGCUCCUGCUGUUAUGCACAAAAAUUGCGAGGGGUUAUUGAAAAUAUGAUUAUUUUAGCACUUUCCUCACUCAGCACUGUGUCGGAGUGAAGGCAACGAGAAACAAAUCAUUUAGUUGUUUUUCAUUCAAGUGUGCUCUAUAAACAUGAAGUCCUGUUAUAUGCAAAGUGGUGAUUUAGAACUUUUUGUUGUUUUAGAGUACAGCUGAAUCAUCCAUGUGUUAUUUCAAAGUCCGGUUGGGAGCUGAAAAGCUGAGCCAUGAUCCAACCCCUGAGUACAGACUGUCCAAACACAGUCUGUAUUUUUGUAUUUGCUUGUGUACUAAACCAGAGGAAAGCUAUGUUUAUGGCAGGUCAGUUCAUGGAAGACAAUCCCUUCCUGAUGCAAGAAAAGAGUGAUUACCAAACUAUAACAAUGGAGAAGCACACAAAUCCAAAGACAGGCUUGUAAGCUGCAGACAGCCUUUGAAAAUCAGAGCUGACAAAACCCAGCUGGGAACAUUUCAAGGUGCUUUUUUUCUUCUAAAUAUACCCAUAGGGCUCUAUUUUUGUGUCUGCCGGGGACGCGGCGGAGGGUAGCGGACCCCGCGCAGUGGUAUUUUCGUCUGGCGGAGCCCGGCCUACAGCCAGUUUGGUAUUUUCGUAGACUGAGGCGCACCGAGGUCCGCUAAGUUGGGCGUGGUGGUGUGGCAGGGGGAAGUGUCAACAGAAUCAGCUGGCGCAGUGACAUUUUUGUGCUCACUGGUGGCAUAUAAAGUGCGCUGAAAGCUCGCCGAUUCAAACCUGGUCAGCUCUCAGCGCAGGCGGAGCGCAGCUGGUCUAGUGGUAUUUUGGUAGACCUGCGGCGUAUCGGCAUACGUCACUGAUGCCUCACCGGUAGGUUUCCACAGUGUCAGGAACAUUUCAGUGCAAUAAAUAAACAACAACUAUUAAUCUGAGUCAGCACAUACAUUUAGAUCUAUGUAUAUAUUUUGAUCUAUAUCUUAUCUGAUGAGCGCGUUUGGCACGUGUUUGGACACACAACCUGACCGAAUCAACACAGCUGAAACCGCAUUAAAUUAAAUUAAAUAUCUAGUAAAUAAACACACAUGAUGAAGUUAACAAGAUAUUUAAUUCGUCUCCCUCCUUUUCUUUCUUUCUCUUUCUCUUAUUUCUCGCGCAGCUCGACCUGGACAUGUCUCCGUGUCCUCUCCCCGUCCUGCUGCAGCUGCUGCUGAGUUAUUUACUUUAAGCCUACAUACGAAUAUUAUAAUAUUCAGUUUUGUGAGCCAAAUUUAUUUUAUAUGCCAACAUCUAUGAAAGAAAGAGCCAGGCCACGGAGCGCUAUGCAUCAUUUACUCACAGAUGGAUCUGAUUUUAAUGCCAUUAUUGGAAUUUAUGUUGUGAUCUCUGCGCUCAACCCACCUUUGUCAUGUGAGGUUUGAAUAUAUGCAACUUUAUGUGAGUGUCUUUAUUUGUGGAAAGGGGUGUUUGUCUUACCACUGGGUCCAACAUUACACACACUAAAUCCCUCUGUGCUUAUUUGAGACAGUGUGGAGGACGCCCAAUGCAGCGCUUACAGCGACUUGCUGAGGAGCUGCCUUCUGUCGCCAUCUUGUGGUAUUACUGUCUUCAGACAUCUCUUGAUCUCUUUGACUACUUCACGAAAAUUGUAAUACGCCUCAACGGUGGCGGAUUUAAAGGCGUGGAGAAGAGCUGAUGUUAUUGGUCAAUACAGGUCUCGGCUGUGUUAAACCCACUCCACACCCUCUCUCCUCCCUCGCUACAACUUGCGCCGCUGGGAGGAGUUGAGUUAGGGCGGGGGGAUACUUAUGACGGGCUGCGCCACUCACCAAAAAUAUCAAAUUGUGCUUGGGAACGCCUUGUCGACGCGGCGGACCUGACUUACGCUGCGCCUGUGCCACUUCUCCGGCGAAGCACGAAAAUAGAGGCCAUUAUGUUUAAGGUCACUUUCUUUGAGACAUUGCUCGAAUUCAGUCUUACAGUCAUUUUUUUGAUCAUAUGCAUGAUCACAAAAUAAAAAUAAAAAUAAAUCACACUCCUGGAGAUGUUUGAGAUGUGUCCAUCUGUGUUUGACACUAGGAAGCUGAAGAAUAUGUGCCGUGUAUAAGUAGCCUGAUGAAAUAACUAUAAGCUUGUGCCUUCUGCACCAUGAGGCUGAACAGCCUUAGGCUUCAGGCAGACUGCUGCUGCUGAUGAUGAUGUGGGGGAAACACACCAGGAUGUAUACAUGCAUGUAUCUGUGGACUACACAACAGCCCCAAGCCCUCACAGCUGAACUCAACCGAACAGUGGGCAAAAAUGUGCUUAAAAAAUGAGACAACAUAUAAAGGAAUUGACCUUCUACGCAGUUUGUUUAUGUAAUUUUUUUCUGGCACCAUAAAAUUGACCCAGGACUCAUUUUCAGUAAAUAGGACAAGCACUGCAUAUGCUGUCUGCACAUUUUGUCGUUUUUCGGGGAGGGUGGGUUAUGCAAGCCCCCAUUCACUGCUAAUUCCAUCAAAGCAUUGGGAGCAGUUCUAAUUGGGCGUCUCUAUUUUUGGUUGUCUUCCAGCCCUGUUUUGCUGCCUUUGAGUAAAGGCAGCGCAGCGAAUGUAAAGCUGUGUGAUAACAGGGCCAUUCGCCACAGUACUGAGUUUGACCCUGCAACCAGCCUCCAUGACGGAUGUGAGAUGAUUCCUAGCCCUCCAGCUCAGCACGACACACUCAGCACAACUCAAAUACACUCCCCAAAUCUCUCCCUGUCUCUCUCUUUUUGCAACGUUCCCCGUCUUAUUCUUCAUCUCUCUCUUGCUCGCUCUUUCCCCUUGUCUGUCAUUCUACAGAUUCACUCUGUGCUGUACGCUGUCUAUUUAAAGCCUGUGCCGUAACCACCCACUGCAUCUUUAAGAAGUGGUGACUCACCUAAACAGAUCAGCUUUGUCGACUCUAUGUGUGAGUGUGUGUGUGUAUGUUUGGAUGCGCUUGUUAUAUCAUCUCAGCUUUAGUUCUUCUUUGCCAGGGUCUUCUCUGUUUGGUGACAAGUGCAGCUGUUUUCAGACGAUAGCACUUGUCUGUGCGUCAAACUGGAAUCUGCAGGAUCCUCAGAUUAAUGCAAACACAGACACUCACACACACUUGGACACAAUCUGUGCACUUCAUGUCACUGAGUUAUAUGCUAUUCUGGGUGCAUUCAGGGGAUUUGCAGCUUAAUGUGGAAGCAAAUGAGCAAAUUUGCAUUUCCUCUACUUUGCUCAGUAAUGAGACAUAUGUAAGUGACUAUAUAAGAGCAAAAUGAAGUGCAGAUGAAGGUUGUGUGCUCGAGAAGACCAGGUAACAAACAGAAGACUACAUAUGGCGUGUUCUGUAUCUGUGGCAGGAGCUCCCAGGCAGCCAGCCUGAGCAGUUUUCACUGCCAUGGUUUUGAGUUUCCCCCUCAGUUCUUUGCAUUAUUUAAUAAUCUCUGAAUAAUUCACAGACUUUCGUAUCAAACAAAUAUUUUUUGCAACUUGCACCUACGCAAAGGUGAGGAGGGGCUGGAUCAUGAUGUAUGUAGUCCAAAUGAGGGGUGGUGGUGUGAUUAAGUGUUUAUGUUUGUUAAGAAUCUUCAUACGUGUGAAUUUGAACAUCUUUAGCUCUGCUGAAUGUGCCCUUGCUGUGAGCUUUUUUUCCCCCUUUAUAUACGGUUAAAUUCAUAGUAUCAGUGUCGGAUGUUGUACAUCUCUAAUUUUGACUUCAGGAAGCUCUAUUCCAUCACAUACAUGCAGUUUACAUGCCUAUAAACCAUUGUUUAUCACCCUGCUGUCUGUUUAGUCACCACUCUGACUCUUUGCAGCAGUUCUGUGAACUGUUAGUUUUUUAGCUGGUUGUGUUUCAUUAAAGAAGUGAGGCAUACAGAAAAAGUAAGACUUGGAAAGAUCAGCUGAUCUGAUGCUGCAUCUGCACCCCUUGUGGAAAAAGAAGUUCAGCUACAUGGUGUGCAUUGUUACAGUAUGUUAGCCCUGUGAGGUGGAGACUUUCAGACCCUGACAGCAAUGACGCUGUGCUGUCAAGGCAGGCACAAACUGGCUCAUGCACUGACUGGUUAGUCAUGCUUUGAUGCACAGUUUAAAGAGGACUCCAGGAAGAAGGCUGAAUGCGCAUGUGCAAAAUGUCUCUUUCUCUCUCUCAAACACACACACAUACACGUAUACGACAAAUACACACUUUUUUUGUACGGAAGAACACACUGCUGCUGAGUGCUUAAAAGGAAAGCAGCAGCAGCAGCAUUUGGUAGUCUGACAUGAAACCCUGAUCCUGUUUUUUUUUUCUUUCUCUGAGCUGACUUUAAAGCCAUUUUCUUAUGCAGUUACAGGAAUCAUAAACACUAUGAAAUUACACAGAUCAAAUAGUACCUGAUGACCAGAGUCCCCUUUUUAAAUAAAAAACUGCAGGCACCAAUUUGAAGAUAUAAAGCUUUUCCUUUCAUUUUGUUUUAUUGGAGUACACUGUUUUAUUCAUCACUUAGCUUUUAAGAUGAAUUUUCUACAAAAAAAAAAAUAGUGACUAAAACUGCAAAUAUGAAACCUUUGAGAUUAAAAAAAAUACAAAAUAAAAUAAAAAAUAAUCAUUCAACAUUUCAUUUAGGAACAAAGGGGAAAAACGAAAAACACACUUUUGAGAGUGUCUCCUAGUGUGUGUGUGUGUGUGUGUGUGUGCGUGCGUAUGUGUGUGUGUGUGUGGCCCUUCAAUGAGGUCAGUUCAUUUUCCUCUUUUCAAAACACUCAUACAGAAUGUGAAAUUAGUUCAUAAAGUUAUAGAUUUCUGCUUUUGGUAACUAAGGGUUAUAAAACAGUAAAUAGAGAAAAACUUCUUUUUUUAAAUUAAUUAUAUUUGUCAGAAAAUUAGAUAAAAAGAGAUGGAUUUGAAAUAAAGAUUAAUUUUAGGGUUAAUUUCAGAUGUCUCAUAUCCACUGUGGGAACUUAUAAAUACAAAUGGUUUUGUAGUUCAUUUGUAAAUUAUACUGUAAUCUUUUGAUUAAAAUAAGAUAAUGAAUUUUUUACCCUAUACUGAGUUAAUUUAGAUCACUUUAACCACCCGCUAUAGUCCUCUAUUUACUCAACAUAACUUUUUUUGUAUCUCAAAAACCUAAAAGUUAUAACAACCACAGAUUUAUGCCAACAAACUGAUGCACUUAUUUUACAUAUUUGGAAUUCAUCAUUAUUAAAACUUGAAAAAUGAGUAGAACAAAACAAAACAAAACAAAAAAGAAAUACAGAAAGAUAUCACUUUUUUUCUGCUUCAAACAUUUUUCUGUUGCUUUUAUCCAAAGUAUGUAAAUUGUUCAUCUGAAAUUAGAGAUUAUUUGACGGCAUGUUUUUUAUUUUAAUUUGACAGUUUUUUUGUCAUAAAUAUGAAUGAUACAUUAUUUGACUGGAGUGUCAUUUAUUCUGUCAGAAACCGAAAACAGGAACUGUAUAUUGGGACUGAAAUAUGACAAAAUAACUGAGCAGGGACUGUAAAAAGGACUUCAUCAUCACACCCUUUUUUCAAAUGCAGACUGCUCUGGCUGAAGGCCAAAUAUUUGGCAGCAGAGCUCUGCACGUUCCAUUUAUUAGAAAGGUGCCGGCUCAUUAUUUAGCAGGACAGAGUGCCGGAAACACUCAACAGCUGCAGCUACUCCGACUUUACAUGCAAUAAAGUUUGCUGCCUCAUGUGGGGGAUCUCUCCCUCUUUUUGAAGCAGCCUUUUUUGGUCCAUAAUUUAUACAUUUACCUUACUUGCUUCUGCGUGCGUUGGCCUCCUGCAUUUUUUAAAGGCCGGGUAUUGAGGGAUUUUCUGUCAUGCUCUCUUGCUUUGUUCUGAUCACGCAAGCUGCUGCCAUCCCACAUACAGGAACACUGGCAAACACGAAGUCAUGCCACCUAUGCGGAACACAAACACACAUGUGCAUUGACAUGGAGGCACAGUGUCAUACCAUUUUACAGUCAGCACACACACACACACACACACACACACACACACACACACACACACACAGUUUGAGGGCCCACUUUCCUCAUCUGAGUCUGCACAAACCGUCUCGUGCCAUGGCGUGAGUGUUUUUACACAAACACACACCAAUCUGAGCCAUCCAUGUGUGUCCAAGCAAGUGAAGGGGUGUUGAAUCUUCCUCUCACACCCAUGCAUGCGGAAGGAGUCUACCUCCUGUGCUCCCCAUGGAGGACACAUGGCAGACAAAAAUAGAGGAAAAAGGAGAGCCUGAAAUGAACAGAUUAGAAAAGCAAUAGUUACUGGAUAAAGUUUUACUAUUUUCAAAUCGCUGAUCACACAUACAAACAAAAACAAACACAGAUUUAUUAUCACUUCAGUAUCUAAAGGAGAUCAAAUUCACCUUAACCGCACACAUUUGAUUUUUCAAAAUUUUCGUCCUGUACAAUGAUUUAUUCAUUUCAUCAUCAUGUAAAGUUUAAUAUUUUUGUCAUGUGUGGGUAUAAUUUUCGAUAUUCUUGUUUACAAUAAAACUUUUUAACAUGUGAUAGGUAGCGAUUUACUUUCAUUUUACCCAUCUCUGCUUGACUUAGCAUCCAGCAGAGGCAUUAAAUGUGUGUAACUCAGUAUCCAUGAUGUUGAUCAGUCCAAUGAAAGGUGGCUUUAUAAUAAUAACAAUUCUAAUAUAAAUUUGGUGUGUGUUACUAGGUGUCAUGAAAUCUCAUCAAACUCUUGAGGAAAAAAAAGAGAAAAAAUGGAAUUAUAAUCAUAGUAUUUUUGAGGCAGUUCAUAUUUAUUUCUCAUUAAAGAAAACUAAAUGUGAAAAUAAAAAAAGAACUUUUUACUUAAAUAUAUGUAUGUGAAUGAAGACACACCAGGAAGAUCAUUUGUUUAAGAGUUUUACAGAGGCUCCAUAACUGUAAUUCUUCUCAUGUUUUGGAAUUUUUUAAAUGUAUUCCAAUACACUGAUAUCCAAGUACCCCACUUCGUUUAGAAAGCAUAUUUAAAAAAACAAUAUAAGUAAACAAAUAAAUAAAAAUCAAUUUAUCAGGAUGAGGAUAUAAAACUACAUAUAUAUAUAUAUAUAUAUACACAUACAUUCAUAUAUAUAUAUAUAUAUAUAUAUAUAUAUAUAUAUAUAUAUAUAUAUAUAUGUAUAUAUGAAUGUACAACAACACUGAAAAUAAUUUUGAAAAAAAGACUUGAACACGUAAGCACAUUAAGCUUGAAAAGCCAUAAAAACACAAAAAAUAAUUCUGAUAAUAAUAAAGCAACAAGAAUAAAAAUAAAAACAGCCUGAAAUCACACACACCACCCAGCAUACAUGUGGGGUAAGGAUUAAAAAUAUGUUUUUAAGGCCAUGUUUGAAGACUUACUAGGACAGGGACUUGUUAAUGUUGUACCACAAUUCAGGGGCCUCUACAGAGAAGGCAUGGUCCCCCCCGGUUCUAAGCCUUGUCUUAGGAACCACACGACACAGCUGUUAAGAAAGACCCUCAGUGAGUUUAGACUAACAGGGGGUCAGAGAUGUACUUUGGUAAUAAUCCAUUUGAAUCUAUAAAAACAAACACUGAAAUACCAAGGGGGAUUUUGAACACAUUAGCAGUCAUUUAAUAUACACAUAUACACUUGUUUAAUAUACACAUAUACAGUUAUUUAAUAAACACAGUCAUUUAAUAUACACACACAUAUAUAUAUAUACAGUCAUUUAAUAAACACAUAUACAGUCAUUUACAGUUUAAUUAAAUAUAAAAUAUCAGUCAAUAAAAAGUGCAGAUUGUGGCUGUUACAACUUUAAAGGUAAUUUAAAAAACAGACUGUAGUUUAAACAUUUUCUGAUGUAAAUGUGCAAAUUUUACUAAAUUUGUCUUUCAUAAUCUAUAGAAUAUGAAAAAUACACAAGUUACUGUAAUAUAAUUAAUUUAAGUUAAUUUAAGUACUGCAUACUCACAAUAAAUAAGUUAAUCAACUCUAGCUUAUCUCAGUUUACAAAAAUUACUUUUUUAAGGCAACGACUGCAUAUUUUUUUUCAUUACUCAGCUUAUUAUAUUCUACAGUGUAUAUACAUUUCUUUCUUUAUUUUUUUUUUAGAUUUAUCUGACCUUAUAUUAUACAUCUGACCCUACAUUAAACAUCCUACCAUAUAUUAUACAUCCGACCCUAUAUUCAUUAAAAAAUGUAGUUGAUAGAUUACAUUACUUAGCCAAAGAAAACUCUACUUGAUUGUUUACUAUUAUUAUUAUUAUCAUUAUUAUUAUUAUUAUUAUCAUUGUUUAACCCAAAUUUCCUAAAUAUUAAGUAUUUUAAAUUAUUUAAUAUCGGUUCUUUCUUUUUUUCCCCCUACCAUCUUCAGAUUUAGUGCAGGCUUCAGAUCACAGAUCUGAUCCAAGAGGAAAUAAUUAAAUCAAAGGCAUGACUGAGAUUCAUCAUUUUAAUUUCUGAAGUUAUCCAUUAAAAGAUAAACAUGUCUUUUUUUUCUUACUCUCUAAAGUCCCUGACGAACAGUGAUGCCCCCUCCUCAUCUCCGGUCUUUCUCUCUCUCCCUCCUCCAUGUGCUGUCAUCUAGAUUCCCUCCCUAACAUGUAAAUUUAGGUCAGGCCACAGUCUCCUCUCCGGGCUUCACAGGAAAAUGUGGAAAUGGAUUGUUUCACACCACUUAAUCUUAUUGAGAGAGAGGGAUGGAAAAGCGAAAACAACAGGGACUAAUGUGGAGGACAAGGGGGGAGGAAGAGGACUGAGGAGGGGCAUCAUUACAAAAGAGAGAUGGGGGGUGGAGAGGAGAGAGAGAGAAAAACUAGUCGAAGGUAAAGGAAGGACAGGAUGGGGAAAAAAGAGGGGCGCAAAAGGAACCAGAGGACAUGAGGAGUAAGGGGAGGAGAGGACAGAGGGAUAGGCAGGAGACAACAACAGGAGGAGGAAGGAGGAGCAGAGAGGAAAAUAAAAAAUAAAGGACAGAGAGGAGGAGGAAGAGAGGAGACGAGGGGAGAAAAGAGAAGAAAGUAGUAUGCCACUCGCGUCUCAUCUCUGUUCUCUCUGCCAGCGUCACAGCUCCCAGUGCUGGCAGCUCGCAAACUAACAGACAGGCCAUAUGGCUUCAUUAUGAGACACACACACACACACACACACACACACACACACACACACACACACACACACACACACACACACACACACACACACACACACACACACACACACACAAUAACAACAAGAACACCCUCAGUGAACUAAUAUCCACACACACUUUGAACAUGCAUUUGCACACACACUCACAGGAAAAGUCCUCGUGCACAGGUGCAAACACUUGCAGCAGGGAGAAGAGGAGGUGUGUGACGAAUUGAAUGAAAGCAGUGAAGAGGAGGAUGUAAUGGCACGUUGAGUUUUUCUACCUCCAGGGGCUCCAAGGGAGAGCAGAGCUGGCCCAAUUACUGAGGCUUACAUGGACACACACAUACUCACAAACACACACAUAUGCAUUUUAAACACUCAGUCACGCAAACCUAUUAUCAGCAAUCUGAGAAAUCUAGGGAGACGCAAUCUUCAUUACCAGAUACAUGGAAAGCAAAUAUUUGGAGAACAGAAGUUCAAAUCACAGCCUUAACUUCUCCUGCUGUUUCAAAUACAAACACACACGCACACAUACGCACGCACACACACACACACACACACACACAUCAAGUGGGCACCAGGGAGGAGCAGCUUUACCUACAGGCGUGGAGGUGUGAUGGGAUGAAGGUAUUGGCUGGGUGGGCUGGACUGCUGUGUAAACCACUUGACACACACUAUAGUAAUUAGUGUCAUGGUCCGGGGGAUGGAUGAUCCUGGUCAUGGAUCCCCAGGAGCAGGGGGAUAGUUCUCAAUUGGGCCCCUCCCUGGGGGCUCCAGGGGUGUCCUCUUAGUGUUCUCCUGUUGACUGCUUGUGUUAAACAAGAAACAACUAUAGUCCAGUUUGUAGGCUGAAGGAGAAACAUUAACAGCCAUGAAGGUGUAACCUUUGAAGGUGGAGUUAUGACUGUUUUCAAAAAGUAGUGAAAUGCAAAUGUUUCUGCAACACCAAUAAUUACACACACACACACACACACACACACACACACACACACACACACACACACACACACACACACACACGAUAUGUUCAGGUUCACUGCCACUUAAUAAAUGCUUAAGAAAUUAGCCUAAAAAAAAACAUGCAAAUGUGAAUGUUCGUCUGUGAGCUGAAAGUCAUUAAAGCAUCAUAUACUUUACUGCACCUACUCUAUCAAAGUCAUCAGCACUGCUUGAUAUUUUAUACUAGCACCCAGCAAAGCAAAAUCUAACUAUAACCUAACUAACUGCCCAUAUAUUAGCAAACUAUGAUAAUAUGCACAAUGAAUCACUGUAAGCACACACAGCAACAGCAGAAAUGCAAUUUUAGCCACUGAACCAUUGUUGUGAUUCAUUGAUCAGGAAAAUGUUGCUCUUCUUAUGCUGUAACUGCGUUAUUUGUUUGUUUACAAGUAAAGCUGUCUCAAUAUAAUUUUUCACCUCACAAUUACUGUGGCUGUAAAAUAUCAUGAUCAUGAUAUUAUCAUUAUAUUUCUGGAGACUUUAAGAAUAAAACACUACAAUCAGUCAAAUCAAUACUUAUCACUAUCCAUUUCUAAUGAUUUUCAAGUUUGUGAUUUAACAUCUCCAGUCCUGGGACUGAAACUUCUUUGGAGAACACAUAACCCGUACAACUUUUGUUUGCAAUACUUUUAUUUUGAUAAUUUGUUUAGGUUGCUGUAUUUCCUGUAUAGUGAACUAGGCUUUUAUUUUUAAGAAUAAGCUAAUUCCAGUAAAUUUCAGAUUUGAUUGACAACAAUUUAAGAACAGGUUAAAAAGUAAUAAUGUUCAAUCAAAAGGAAGUCUGAGGAGACACUGGCUCUAAUGUGUUUGUUUUUUAUUACAGUACAUGAUUUAAUUUCAGUAUCUAAAGGUUUCUGAUCAUCGCUACAAUUAUAACAGUGAGAAAGUCUGGUUACCUUGGUGUUUGUCUGAGUUUAUAAACGUGCUUUGUAUUUAGCAUUCAGAACCAGUUUGGCUCCAGAUAACAUGGAGUUUAUUGUGAAACCUUCUUUCAUGUAAAGGGUCACUAUGCUGCCCCCAAAAUGCAUCUCUGGAGACCUUUGGGUGUCUCCAGACUGACAGUCACUGCUAUAGAUUCUACAUAAACAUGCUGACUCCAUGUGCACUGAAAGCAUACUGCACAAACAGCACUAUGCAGAGUUUGGCUGACUUAAUAAAAAAAAAAAAAAAGAUUGCUCUGAUGAGUUCCGCAAACAAGCCCUAAAUUUAAUACAUUUUUAAUUUUGAAAAUUCUUAUCGAUGAGGAAAUUUCAUCAGGACCCUGUAUAAUGCAUCUUUAACUAUUUUUUUUAGGGACAGCUGCUGGGGGAUUUUCACUGGCUCUGAGUUUUUAUAGCUCCCUCUAGAGUCUGGGGAGAUGUGCAUUUUUCACUUGGGUGUUUAUCGUUGAAAAUGAAUUACCCCUCACAGCCCAAUUCCCUCUCAUCUGACUCUUUUUUCUUUAGGGGGCGGAGGGUCUUUUAGCUUUUGUUAGAUAGGACAGUGUGGGGAGAGAAUGGGGGAUAAAAUACACCUAAUCCUUUCCCAAUCAGAAGUCAAUCUUCCAUUCAGUGUCAUGAGAACCUAAGCUUCUGUACAUGGGGUUACAGCUCUGCCAAGUACACUAAACCAGUACUUCUCUUCAUCUGACUUCAACAUUUCAUGGAAAGAUCAUUACAACUAAUGCAUUUGCUUCCCACUCUGCCCCUUGUCUUGUCUGUGCGGACACACAGUGUUAAUGAUCUGUAUACUUCAUGGUGUUUUUAAUAAGUAUUGGAUUGGUCUAAGGUGAUUAACCACUGCUGUCUGUUAUUGCUCUUUUCUAAUCAGUUUAUUUUAAAAUUAGCAGGAGGACAUAAUGUUUUUAAUAGAUUUAACAGAGUCCUGCAGAGUAGCAGGCAGACAUUUCUAUCAGAUGAUGUGGUGAGUAUGGAUUUUUCUCUGGUUUCCCAUUACAGUACACACCCCUGUAUUGAGUUCAACCGAGCAUGUCAUCCUGGGAAUCGUUGGCUAUGCUGAAUUGAAACCCCCUUUUUUAAUUCAUAAGACAUUGUUUGGUACCAAGUCAUGUGUUAUUCUAAUAUAAUGGCUUAUUUUAAUAGCUUAAAAACACAUCAGCAAGACAGUUUGAUGGUGCUGCUUUUAAUUUACUCGGUGUUCCUGCCUGUGAGUGUAGUGGCCUGUGAUACAAUGAGGUUGCAUUAAGCUCAGUGACAUUUAAAAAAUAAAUUAUAGAAAGACACAAACAUGCACACACUACAUCCAAGAUGGUCUUUUAGGUCAGGCUUAUAUUUCCAAGGGUGGAAGUUAACUGAGAAUGAGCACUCAGUUAGACAAAGUGUGUUGUAAUCGAUGUGUAUGCACACAUUAUUUUGUACUCGUGUGAUUCCCAAACUUUACAUUCCUGUCUUCACAGUAGGGCCACACAUUUUUUGGCUUUAAAACUGUUUUUACCCAAAAGCGUGCAAACUGAACCUUCUGUUUAAUUGCUCUGUGUGUUGACAGUGGCAAAUGCAUUGGCGACCCCCUGUUCCUAUUGUUCAGGUUAAUUCGUCUGGGCCAAGUUAUAGGAACAGAUGAAUUAAAACUGAUGAAAAGAGAAUGGAGCCCUGCAGUCUCGAUCACCACUGGACGGGUGCUCUCAUGGUUCGGGGCGGGAGGCGGUGCUUGUUGCCAGGAUACUGGCCGGAUCCAGUCUGGAGGUCCCGCUGUUUUAUUGGACAACACGCUUGACCCUCUGGCAACCCCGAAUUGGCCCCUGACCUGAGAAGUCACUCCUAAUCAAUGCAGCCAUGCACACGCUGACUCAGGAAAAGACUGGUGCUGCCGACCUGCUGGUACAGACACAGAACACCGGGCGGCACCAUGGAUCAGUAUCAUGCAAAGUGACAUCUGUAACCGUUUAAAAUCACAUUUGGCAUAAUUAUGCUUUGAUACGUUGUCAUCAACAUGACAUGUGGCAUCUGAAAAAUGUGUUUUAAGUUCUGUACUCUGCUGAGGAGCUGGAACCAGCAAAACCAGAGGAAAUGUACAGAAGUUUUGGGGUACAGUAUGCGGCCCAUAUUUUCUACAUCUUGCAAAUAUGCAGCCCUCAUUUCUUUACAGUAACAGGUCGGCCUUUUAGUUAACUGUAGUAAUUGAUUUAAAUUGCUAAUUUUGGCGAUAAAACAAGACAAAAUCCUUCAAAGUAAUGGACAGGACGAGGGCUAAACCUUUUAUUUCUAUUGUUUUGUUGUUCUCUAAGGUUAAGGCUGUCUCUGUGGUUAAGAUUCCAACCACAUGACAGCAAUAUCUUGGAUUUUCUUUCAUUAAGGGAUCUCUGUUGCAUGUCAUACUCCUUUUACAUGUCUUUAUUUCACCAACAUUAAUGCCCAAUGCCCUAAAAGAGUAAUAAAAAAAGGCCAAAUUACUAACACACUAAAAAAAAAAUAAAUGCCACAAAGCCAAGCAAACCCAAAGAAUCAAAAUAAUUACUUUCCCCUUAAACACAAAGUUAAUGUUGAGCUGACAGGAUGAUGAUGUCAGUGAUGCAGGAUUGACAACUGCAUACUCAUAAUUCAGCAUACACCUCAUAUAUUGCCGUCAAUGCUCCCUCGCCAUCUAGUCACAGGAAAUAAAUGACUGACAAUUAUAGUUUUGUAACACAUAAUUAAUGAAAUAUCUUAAGUGUUUUCCUUGGAUAUGCACUUCUUGAUGCCUUUAAAGACCACAUAUAGCGCAAAUGUCUGCUGGGCGUGGCACACUCCACAUAAAACCCUCUCUCCAUCUGGCCCGUCACCUGUCUGUCAGCAAAUACAAACCAUGAGCUGAUGCCGUGGAUUUCUUCAUUCUGUGGCCUGACAUGAAGAGAAAUAAGACGACACGCCUUGUGAUCUCUCAGAUUGCUUCAGAGGAGCCAGCUGUCUCAGACAGUUCAGGCUGGUGAGGCUGACGGCAGGCUGAGCUCUCAAACCAGAAACCAAGAUUCUUAAAACUACAUGGAUAAGUAUUGAGAGAAAAAUAAUUAUUAAAACCUGUGGUCAAAUAAAUCCAUUUUAACUUCGUAGAUCUUGUAUCUGCUCCUAAAUCUUGUUUUUUUCUGAUAAUAUUAACUUUGCACAACAGUAUAAAAAAUACCUUUCCCUGACUUAUUUUAAUUCAAUAACUCCAGAAAUCUUUCAAAUUAUUUGUCAUGACUAAACUCAGGUAAAAACAACAUUUUUGGCAGCUACUUGAAAUUAUGUGUGGUUAAAGCACUGUUCUAAGUACCUGUGCAGUCAGCUGAUGGUUUCUGCUCUGCUCAGUCCAGACUGGGCCUGGCUGCUCUUUGUGCUGAUGAAAGUUUGACAAAUUGCUCCAAAAGUGUAGUUCAUUUUUGCAAAGUCCUUAUUUAGAACAUCUUUGGUAGGCAGUCCACAUCUUUGUACAGUUAAUGCGAGGGUUUCAGAGUCAUUACGGUCUUAAUUUGAUCCAUAUGUUUGCACACCAACCAGUCUAAUUUCAGUCUAAAUUUGACUUUUUCUGCUGACAGUUUAGAAGUUUUCAUUUCACAUUUACUCAUCACCAGAUAAGGCUGGUUUCAACACAUUUGCACACGAUUCUUCAGAGGAUGUGAUUCACAUACAGUGCAGACAUCUAGAGUCAUUUUCUGGUGCGGUGGAAAACCUUUUUUGUUGUGGCUCGUCACUAAUUAUGGGAUCUUUCCUGAGCCGGACAGGGUACUUUAGCACACAAAGAAGUUUCCAGCUAUUGUGGCUGAAAAUGCAGCACGCAGAAUAACUGGAGAGGAGCUGGCAGAGAUCCCCUGGCAGCAAUCAAAUCUGUUUGGAUGAACACAACAUGAGCCCAGUAUGGACAACACCAAAUGCUGCUCCGUAUUAAUGGCAUAUGUGGUAGUAGCGGCAAAGACUUUUCAAGUGGCCUGGUCAACAUCCAGUUUUUUUUUCUGUGACCAUGUGACAUUACUUCUGCAAACACCAAGAGAGUGGUAAGAAGUGAACAAACCAAAAAAUGGUGCCAUAAAAAGGGAAGGUAUAGAAUAAAUGAGACAUUGAAAAGCAGCUAGCUCCUUUCAUUUUCUUUGCACUUUAAAAGUCAUAAAGAAAAUACACAAAACUAAGCCCAAAUCCUUUCAUCACAGUUUUCGUCUCCUCUAAUGUGAACACAUUAUAAAUAUACAGUGAUUGAUAAAUGGUACGAAGUUAGCUGAGACAGCCUUUCUUCGCAGUGAAAAGAAAAUCCCACUAAUCUUUGGGAGAUCAGGACUAGUUUUUGUGGCCCACUUAUUCUUCCGUUUCCUGUAAGUAGAUUUGAAACCCAAGCGUGGAUAUAUAUUCUGUUUGGGCAGACCUGUUAUUGUAGGCUGAUUUUUCCCCCAGCUAUAAUUUAUCGGCAUAAAUCAGCAGGCCUAUUGGAAUGAUUAGAAGGUUUGUCUUGGCCACUGAGGCUACAGAACCCACCCACCUUGCCAGCUAACCAAUCUAUUCACCUGACCACAACACCUCUGCUUACAUAAAUCUGUAGCAAUGCUCCGCUUCUGCAUGCCGGCUUUUGUGUGUGUGUGUGUGUGUGUGUGUGUGUGAUUUCUUUGUUGGAUUAUUUAUAUUUGCAUGUGUGUUUUUUGUGUUAUGUGUGUGGAGAGUUAGUCUAUGACCCAGUCCGUAUUAAAACAUUUCCUUUUAGAGACGGAUAGGAGGGUUCCUGAUCUGGGGCGUGCCACCAACAUCCAUCACAGCGGCGGUCUGGUUUCCUGGUGAUUUAGGACUUACCGAAGCGGUCCAACUCGCUGCUGCACUCUGACCACAGCCCUUCCAUCAGCCUCCCACCCCUGCGUCCUAAUAUCACUGCACAAACAACCAGGAGCGCAACCCAUUUUUCUGCACCUCCCCAUGAGUGUGAGGAACAAAUCUGGCAGUGUAAAGUAGGAAUAAAGAAAUGUGUUGCACCAGUCUGAUCAAGAUACAAUUAUGCUAUAUUUUUAGUUAAUAUUUAUUUUUUCAGGUUGUGGAGAUUUUUUUCCCUUUUUGCAGGAUAUUUCCUCCUCAGGUUUAUGCUAAAAUAACAUUUUUCAUACGACUUUUUAACAUUGUUUUUUUUAUUUUUUUUAUUUUUAAAUAAGAUCAUUGUUGCGUUCAUUUAUAUAUUAUCCAUAUCAUGUAUUUGUGUCUGCCUUUUCAUUCACCUAAUAUUUUUUGUAUGCAGUCCAAACACACUUUUCUUUUAAAACCAGAAAACACCACACAGCUUAAAAUCUGAUUGACAAAUGUGCUGCAAAUAGUCUGAAUUAUAAAAUUAAUGACACCAUAAAACCUGUAUUAGCACUGAGAGACCAUCAGCAAAAGUCUGAGUAUGAGUUUAGCUGUUAUGUAAGAAUGUUAUUUAAUUUCUGUAUGAGUUUUCUCAGUUGAAGUUUGAGAGCAUAAUGUUUCACUUUCUCUCCUGAAGGGUUUCAAUUGAGUUUGUUUCAAGUAAUAUCAGUAUAUUAAGAGUAUAGUCAAGCCCUCUCCGGCUCUGGGCUUGAAUUUUUUUUUUUUUUUGGAGUGCCGGCUGUCCAUUUACACAAAGCGGAUUUUGCAUCAGCCAGCUUAGAAGUGAGGACUGCUUUGAAGUGCUCUAAUCCUUCCUCUACCUUCAGACAACCUUUCCUGAUCCUCUGCAGAGUCACAGUGCCAGCCAACUGCACCAGCCGGAUGGUCCAAACCACUUACCAUCACAGACACAUACUUUCAUGGAAGUAUGCCUUUACUUCUGCAAAAUAACACAUUUGCCCGCAAUAUUAUAAAUGCAUACAAUAACCCAUAACCCCUCAGUCAUGCAGUACAGUGUAUUAGCAGAGUGUACAGAAAAAGAGUUUCUCUCUGUACAGAAGUCAGAAAUCAGAGUUUUCUUUCUUUUUCUGAGAUAGUUGCAUACCUAUAAAAGUUCUGACAAACAAAGCUUUGUCUGCAUGAACGUUUUCUUUAUUUUUUCCUUUUCAGUAAGCUCCUUUAAAAAAACUCACUUUCAGGACCUGUCUUGUGACACCCUAUGCCAGGGCCGGUCCUGUGGGGUGGCCCAUAUCCCUCCUUAAAAUCUAACUGGCCACUCAAAUAAAACACCCAGAUCUGUGACUAUGAUUGGCUGACUGCUUUGGCAUAGUUUGGGUUUAAAAUCAGUUGUUUGGGAUGUGUUGUGUUAGGUUGCUUGUUGUCUUCUUUGCAUUUCGAUGCUGCACACUACCACCAGUCAAUUCCUGAGUAAACAGUCUGUUCCCACCCCUAACCACUGAGUCUGAGUGAACAUUGAACUCUCUGUGCUCUGUGGCACAUCACUAAAGGCCUAAAGGUCUAGUGUCCCAACAGAUUAAAUGUAUAAACUUUACAAGUACAAGCUCUACCUUUCUCAGUCCGAUAGUCAUAAAUUGUUGAUUUUUAUUCCUUUUGAGUUCAGUUUUGCAAAAGCAGCCUGUCCUGGCAGCAGUGUAGGGGCGGGAUAAAAAAAAAAAGGAGGAAUAUGCUGAUUUUCUUUUAUCUAUAAAUGCGAACAAACACACAAAGUACCACAAAUGUGUACACAUCCAUGUUUUUUUGUCAACCAACAGAAGCAGAAAUCUUACAUCAGAUGCAGCUGAAGGCCUCAAAUGCAGUCUGAGUGAAAGUCCUUCGCUCCAUGAAAGAAGCAGAGCUGUCAGAGUGGGUGGCAUAACCAAGUUGACAGCCUGCUGUGGGCUGCUGCUCUUUAUUCGCCGCACAGAGAUGAGCAGUUUUCAAUUUCCUCCCUGCCGCAUGCCUAAACCAACACACUGGUGAGACAACCUUUGACAACAAAGGUCCAACUUUUGUGAGUGAGAAAGAUGAUGAGCAAUUUGAUGAGCUGAGGGUUAUCCAAUGAAGAUGACUGUUGUUGGUGGGUGGUCUGUGUCUCUGUGUACUCCUCUUAACCAAUCCGCUACCAGAUGGGGUCAGUAAAGUCUCACCAGCAGCACCCCUAUUGGCCGGGGUGGUUCAUAGGGCAAAUGUGCUGAGAGCGGAGCAGCAACUAUAUAAACUAAUAAAACCCGUCCUGUGCUGUGUGUGUUUGUGUGUGUGUGCGUGUGCGUGCGUGUGUGCGUGUGUUCUGGUCGAUAUAUUUCAAUCCAGCUGUUCAGUAAUAUUGUAGACUCAUGAAUAACCAUGAAUAACCUACAUUCCUGUCUCUGUUGUGUGUGUGUGUGUGUGUGUGUGUGUGUGUGUGUGUGUGUGUGUGUGUGUGUGUGUCCUCAUUGCCUACCCGAUGCUGGAAGCAGACGGUGUAUGUUGGCUGCCUCUCUCUCACUUCUCUGUGCGCCAGUUCUCCUUCUGAAAGGAAUCUCAGGCUUUCAAGGCUCUUUUUGUGAACUGCUCAUCAAAGUCUCCACAAACGCUCUACUGCUGUUUUUGAAGUCAGGAUCCCUUUUUCACUUUGGAUGAAAUCUUCUUGUCAUGGUUCUGUUUCUCCAUCUCCUCAUUUUUAAAAAUCAAAUGUGGAGCACUUCAAUGCAAAUCACAGUUUUUAAAAAGACAAAAAUGCAAGAGAUUGAUUGAUCCCAAAGUCUUUGGGUUGUCUUUAUGUCAUGUUUAAACCUUCAUGCUGAAAGGAAAUUGGAGUAACCUUCAUGGUGACCCUGUGAGGAUGUGAAAAACUUUUAUGUUUAUUUUUUUCUGUAUUGUACUCAGGUUUAAAGGUGGGAUAGGCAGGAUCGGAAGAAGUGCCAGUUUUUGGGAGAAAUCUUGAAUGUAAACACUACCCCACCGGACCACUUUUCCCCUCAGCUCCUCCUCUCCCCUCCCUCUCUGCUCCAGCAAGCCCCGCCCAUAAACAGACAUGCCUGCUCACUUUUUGCCAAUCAUUUCAAUUAAAUUCAGAUAUAAUGCAGAUAAAUACUUGAGCUAAUUACCAAUGGGGCCCAGUCAAUUUGAAAGUAAAAAGCAUUGGUGCGACUGUAGAUGCCAACAGACUACCAGCAAACACAAUGUUUGCAGGACUUCUACAACUAGGAUAAAAUGACAUAGUCCCGGACCCGGGCUAAACAGUUUAGUGGCACUACAACACACAGCAGGUCCCGUUUGACAAGAAACACUUCUGUUACAGACACUUGCUUUACUUUGUUAAAGCAGUUUACCUUUCCUGCAGAAAGGUUACAGGGUCCGUAAGAUCCCAAAGCCUUCCCUAUCGUUUAUGCUGAUGUUGACCUGGCUUCUUAGCUCUUAUCUGGUCUACCUAUUUUUUAAGUGCCCAUUAUUCUGCCAGAGUCUCCAGUAUUUACUUCAUUUGGCUCUAUUUUCGUGCCUCGCCGGAGACAUGCCGCAGGCGUGGGACAAGUCAGGUCCGCCGCGCCGACAAGGCGUUCCCAAGCACAAUUUGGUAUUUUGGUGAGAGGCACAGCCCGGCGUAAGUAUCCCCCCUCCCUAUCUCAGCUCUUUCCAGCAGCGUAAGUCGUAGCGAGGGAGGAGAGAGGAUUUAACACAGCCGAGACCUGUAUUGACCAAUAACAUCAGCUCCUCUCCUCGCCUUUAAAUCCACCACCGGCGAGGCGUAUUACAAUUUUCAUGAAGUAGUCAAAGAGAUCAAGAGAUGUCUGAAGACAGUAAUGCCACACGAUGGCGACAGAAGGCAGCUUCUCAACAAGUGUCGCUGCAGAGGGCGUUCUCAUAUGAGCACAGAUGGAUUUGGUGUGUGUAAUGUUGGACCCACUAGUAAGACAAACACCCUUUUCCACAAAUAAAGACACUCAUAUAAAGUUGCACAUAUUUAAACCUCACGUGACAAAGGUGGGUUGUGCGCACAGAUCACAUCAUAAAUUCCAAUAAUGGCAUUAAAAUUGGAACCAUCUGUGCGUAAUGACGCAUCACGCUCCGUGGUCUAGCUCUUUACCGUAUUCGGCUUAAAGUAAAUAACUCAUCUGAUCACUGAAACAAAUCAUCUGUUCAGCCGCUGCAGCAGGAUGGGGAGAGGACACGGAGAGAUGUCCAGGGGCCUCAUGUAUCAACGCUUGCGGCGCAAGAAAACCUUGCGUACGCCAAAAUCGGUGCACACGUCCAGAUUUAUCAUCGCGAAACGAGCGUUGGUUCCAGCGUUUAUCAACGCAAAGUCAGGAGGUGGUGUAGAAAUUGGCGUUGAGCCGAUACUUACGUUGACUGUGAUUCGCACUUUGGCGACGCUGUGUGACGGUGUUUGGUGACUCACUAUGUGACAAGCGUGCACCACAUCCCCGUGACCGAGCAGCACGUCGCCCCACAUGACGAACCAGCAGCAGACGGAGGGAUGCGAGCUGAUCCCUGCCGGGCCGCCGUCCUCGCGCGGGAGAAUCUCAUCGCCACAGUGUGAAUGGGUAAGAAGUGAAUACACAGUUCAAUGAGCCAAAUUAUUUUAUUUUCUCCACCAGACGCUCGAGGACAUUUACGAGCCGGUCCAGCCGCUCGUUGAUCCCCGCGAUCCCCCUGAUGAUUUCUUCCUGCGAUUGCAGGACCCCCUCCGCGAGGACCCUUCCACUGCGUCCGGGUGGUCCAGCGGAAGCGCCAAGAUCAGAAUAUAUCUAUAUAGAUCUAAAUGUAUGUGCUGACUCAGAUUAUUAGUUGUUGAUGAUUAUUUAUUGCACUGAAAUGUGCCUGACACUGUGGAAACCUGCCGGUGAGUCAUCAGUGACGUAUGCUGAUACGCCGCUGGUCUACCAAAAUACCACUAAACCAGCUGCAUUUCGCCUGUGCUGAAAGCUGACCAGGUUUGAAUUGGUGAGCUUUCAGCGCACUUUAUACGCCAGUGGCGAGCACGAAAAUGUCACUGUGCCCGCCGAUUCUGUCGACACCUCCCCCUGCCACGCCACCACGCCCAGCUUGGCGGAUCUCGGUGCGCCUCAGUCCACGAAAAUACCAAACUGGCUGUACGCCGGGCUCCGCCAGACGAAAAUACAACUGUGCGGGGUCCGCCACCCUCCGCCGCCUCACCAGCGUACACGAAAAUAGAGCCCAUUGUCUUGCUUGUGUUGGUAAUCAUGGCCAAAGGAGGAUUCAAACAAUUUUCCGUACUUUCUGGUUGGUUUCUGCUGUCUGAUAAUGUAGCAUGCUAACUUUGUUUGGGCUCGUGAAGGGGAGCCCCUUCAGGAGCUGCAGACACUGCAGGGGAGCAGCGUCUGCCUCACAACCAAUCAGGUCGGGGAGGCAGACAAUGGCUUUGUUUACAGUCAGAAAGAGCGGGCCACUCAAAGAAUUUAAACUGUUGACUACACAGACAUAACAAAACACAGCAAUAUCGUGAUAUUACCAAAUGUCAUCAGUAACAAAUAUUGACUGAUAUUCAAAGCUUUUUUUGUAUAUACACCACAGAACAAAAGAUGCUUCUUUAACGGAAUCCUGCCUACCCCCCCUUAUCUCAAAAUCUCACUAUCUGCCUCUUUUUCAGGAUUAGCUUUCAUAAAACAUUCAAACAAAGACAUUAGUGUCAUCUGAAAAGAAAUGGGAUAGCCAGGAAAAGUGACUGUUUUUAAUUUUCAGUUUGUGACAUAUUUGUAUCACAAAUCCUCACCAGAACAGCACAUUGGUAUCUUUCUCCUAACUAUUGUUUUCAUAAAAAAGUUUGAAUUCCCUCAUCAUUGUAGAUUGAAAUCAGUGCCAGUACAGGCCUCCCUCAGAUCACAAUCCCAGUUCUCCCCUCCAGCAGAAGAAAAGUCAAAACGGUUGAGUUUUCCCUUCCUUGCUGGGCUCUCUGAUGAUUUGGCCAGACAGCCAGUUGAAAAUUGGAGAGUAAACAUUUUGGGGCAGUAAAAAGGAAAACAUUGGCAGAACAAUUAGGAGCGAUGGAACUAGUUUAUCCCCACGAACACUCAGGCAGUAAGACGACACUUCCCCUCCUGUCGAAACACUGAAGACCGCUUUGUCAUUCCUCUAAUUGGAUGUGAGUACAUUAUAACUGGGAGGGAAUGAUCCCACUCUUUGGCAGGAGUGAGUCUGGGUUCUUGUUCUAUGGCAAAUUACCUCUUAUUGAAUUAAUUUCCUUUGAAUUAAAGUUGGCGGCAAGAUGGUGUAUCUUCAAGUAGUAUCACAGCAAUGUUUGGACACAGAGGUGACAGUGGGUUGGGUAAUUUCCUGCUUGCAAACAAAGAAGACAAAAACAUAUGAGGCUGAUGCUUGUAUUCACGAAACAACACCCCAAGGAAGUCAUGAUUUGGAGGCUUGCACUUAAGGGCAGGCCUUCUAUGUCUGCACAUUGAGGAGUAUAUACAACAAUGUAAAGUGGUACAAUGACAUCAAGGCUGAAUAAAAACAACAUUUCUUUGAGGAACUUUCUCAUCUUUCUUUACUUUAAAUGUCUAAUCUGCAACCCAAGCUCAACAUUUCAGUUUCAACAACAUGCUGUUAAUCCUAGGCCUCUUCUGGGGCAGAGGUGACAGACAUACUGUAUAACAUAACUGUAUAGAAAUAAUCAAUCUCAUCCAUGAUGGUCUUUUCUCUUUUGUAGGUCAUAAAGGGGCAUCAGUAUUGAUUUCAGUCUGUUUCACUACUAACUGAAAACUCUUCACAGAAGCUUUAAAAGGCCAAAUACAUGCCUAAAUAAAGGCCUUAGGACAGUGUCUGCCAAGUCUUACAAAGUUAUGAAAACCAUCUUAAUUAUACACUUAAUUAUUUCCUUUUGUCAAAAAAAUUUACGGCAGUGUUUAAACAAGCUGGAGACCACUGAGUGUCUCAAUACAGCAGAAGCUGUAUUUGCUCCACUUUAAGAUCAGGAUUUAUCAUAGUGACAACAAAACUCAUGUAAUCCAUCAGAUGAUCAUUAAGUAAAUAAAAGCAGCACUUUACAUGAUUUAUGUUUUGUUUUUUUUAAAUCAAAAUUAAAGUUAAGACCAUAGACUGUAUAUAGAAUGGACGCCAUCUGCCUCCUUGCUGGGUGAGGCCACCGCGAGAACAGCACCCUCUAGUGACAGGCUGCAGUAUAGGACAUACAUCCUGCCUCCUUCAGCAAUUCUUAUGGAGCUGCGGACAAACUUUAGAAAUUAAUUACACAGAAUAUAAAAUUUUCUCCCUCUUGCUUGCGAUGUUGACAUGUAGUUACUGUAAGACUGGUUUGUGCUCAAGUCCUCUUUUUUUCUGUACAGCCCCAUUUUUAAAAGUUAUUAAGGGGUUCGUGUUUUCUAUGAUUGACACUUAAUACAGCCUAUGGGCGUACGACGAUUGCGUAGCUCACCGGGAGAAUAUGCUGUUUGAGCUGAGCGCCAUCACAGCAACCCUUGGCAACUCUCCUGACGAAUACGUACAACGCUACUGCACAAGUAGUGGUUUCAGAAAAAAAUCCCAGAAAUACCGAGAGCAACUCGGCUUCAAAUUUGUAUAAUGAGGGAAGGCGGAGCCAAGUUGUCCAUAGUACAUACAGUCUAUGGUUAGGAUGCACACCCUGUCCCCUAUUCUCCCAAAUCUCUUAGUGCACACAGGUCACAGUUUAAAGUGUUGUGAGGAGCUUUUAUUUGUCAAGAAAACAGACUGAGACUGAUUCUGAUUUGUCUUUCUGACCUUUAAAAGCACAUGAGACCAUCAGUAAAGUGUCAUUAUCGAUGCUGUAAGGAGGUAGGUUCAGACCCAGCUCUAUUUUUUCUUUUUUAGUGGCAAAGACUUUUCAAAGACAACAGAAGGAGGUGUUUGUCUGAAAAUAUUACUUUCACACAUACAGGGCCAGAAAUAAAGAGGUAGGCCUAUUACUUUGUCCACAGGGGGCACCAGACCAGAAGUUCCCCUCAGCAGCUUUAAAAGAGAUAAAUGUACGAUGCUUUGACAGGGGUUUAGUUUGAAUUGGUCAUAAUAGACUGACCCUGGUUGUGCUUUGACCUCUUACCUUUUUAUUGUCCAUCAACAAUGCUAUAAUUUAGCAGAAAAUAAACCUGGGACAGAUAUCUGUCAUGGUAAAUAAAUGAUGAAGCCAGGAUUUAUUUUGCCUACCAAUUCUCUUAAUGAGCUUUCUGAAGUUUAUCCUCACUGUGGACCUCCUGUCCAAACCUCCUUCAAAUACUAGCUCUGCCACAAACACAGCCAUUGUCAAGCACAAAAGAGUGGCGCAGAUAGGAGUAAUGUUAGCAGUUCAUUUGUGUGCUUCAACAAAGGAAGAUGCAUGGCCCUACAGAGUCAUGAGAAACCCUAUACAUCGAUGUGUGAGGGCUGUUUUUGAAGCUCAAGUCAAAGAUGCUGAAAUCAGUAGAAAAUAUAAUAACCAGCCAACUCAAUCAGCGCAUUCUCCUCGAUCCCCACUCAGUACACAGAGCUGCUGAGUGUCCUGAUGUUGGAGGGAGACACCGUCAGUUACUAUUGCAGUGAAACUGUCAUCAUAAAACCUUCAAUUCUUCCCCAGCAAAUAAAAGAAAGCAUUCUGUGUCGGAUGCAUCUGUCAGAGGCAAUUUUCUCAUCCACUAUAAUAGAUGAGGAGAGGAUGAUAAGGAGGAAAGGAAAGUAUCAGGUGAGCAAUUAAACCAAGGCGCCCUCUUGUCAUCCUUUUCUCAUCUCCUUCAGUUCUUUCUCCUCCUCCUCCUCCUCCUCCUCCUCCUCUGUAAAUGCUCGGGAAGCCUUGGCAUACUCAAAUCAUCUUUGAGUAGUCAGUAUGCAGUAGGUACUGCUUGAGUAGGUAAGUAGAUAGUAGGCAGUAUGCCAUUUCGGACACAGCCUAAGUGCAAAGCAAUCAGCAUCACCUGCACGAGUGCACCUUGAAUACCGACAUGAUGACAUGAGAGUGAACUGUGCCACAUCCUCUCACUGCUCAUAAUUGCUCUCCACUUGCCUUUAAUUAAAAGACAUAAUCCCAUUCCCGGCUUCCCCAAACACUGUUUUUAUCUACCGGAAACUUUACUGUGUUGAACUCCUGAUCACCCUGAUAAACCGCCAGGCUAAUUAAACAGAGGCUCGUACAAUGUGUUCCUGCAUGUGUAUAUGCAUAUUUAUGUGUAUGUGUGUGUGUGUGUGUGUGUGUGUGUGUGUGUGUGUGUGUAAUCCAUGGAGUGUGUCUCUUUAUCUCUGAUCCAGUUCCUCUCGCUCUCCCUUGCUGUCUCUCUCUCCUUGUCUGUCGGGCUCAGGGAAAUGAUGCUGAAUGCUGAAUGCUGAAAAUAUGGCACACGCUGAAAGCAGCAUUUAAAUCUUGACAGUGGCUGGGAUUAGCUAGGUAACGAGGAGGACAGCUUGGGAAAAACAAGCCGAAGAGGUGAACUCGAGGACAGUGAGGCAGAGAGGGAAGAUUCUGGAUCUUGGCGCUGUGCUUGGAAAAAUGGGACAAAAUUCAGCACUAAGUUUCAUAAUUAUCCUCGAAACUAUCUCCCCCCUUUUUUUUUCAAAGUUUCCUUUUGAAGUUUCCCCACUUUUAAUGAUUGUCAAGCUCUUUCCAACAUCCUCUCAGCCCAAACUGUAGCUCUGAUGGCCUGAAGUUUGAAAGUCCUCUUAUGGCCUCUGUGUGUGUGCCAUCAUUAUCUGGUUUUCCGAAUAGGACACCGAAGUGACUCACAAAAACACUUGAAGGGAAGUCUUGCUGCCUUUAAUGUUCUACUUUCCAUCCCCUGUUUUAAUCAGUGCAUAUGUGCUGCGCUUAAAGCAAACUUGAGCCUGGUUACAUCUUCACUCCCCCACUGAUAUCGCCUUCGGACUGCAGCCUACCAAAUCCUAAUCCUCUCUCCUCUGAGUCCCCUGCAAACCUUGACUGAUGAACAUGACCCUGAGGGCUCUCACUCUGCUCCUGACCGACAAUGAGGUGGGGAGAAAAUGUGAGCGAAGAAAGUGAGUGGAGGAAAAAAAUGUCCUAAUUACAGAGCUCCCCAAGAAGGACACAUGGUCUGACAUGAAGAUGUGCACACAUGGGCAAGCAUGCACAUACAGUACAAAGAGUCAGCUCCAUGAUGGACUUGUGGUUCUUAGGCAGGGCAAAAAAGGAAAUAGGAGGUUACACCAUAUGCCUAGCUGCCUGCCUGGGUGUGCAUUGCAUAUGCAUAGCUUCAUGUUUUAUGGAUAAGCUGUUAUGCAAUCUCUAUGUCAGGGCCUUACAGUGUGUCUUCAUCUCUAUGCAGACAGCAUUGGCAUUCUCUCCAUUUCAUAUUGCAGGCUUUGCACUGACAUUAACAGAUAUAUAUUCCAUCAUGUCGCUCACAGCUCAGAUGUAAGCUUAAGUAGAAAGAGAAGACGGCAAUCCAGCCUGAACUCUACUGACACAAACUUAACCAACAGAAUAGCUUACCCUUGUUGCUUUCUGAGAUCAGUUCAUAAAGUCACAACACUGGACUACAUUCAUGAAGAGGUGACGCGAAAUCAAACCUGAAAUGGAAAAUAUAUCAUUGAAGCUUUUCAAAAAGGACAGUAUGAUUGUUUGGGCUUUGAUUUACACAGGCAGGAAAUCAUGAAGUACUUUCUAAUCCAACUUUUAAGAAACUUCUCACUUUUACUACGGUGCUCAUUUAUACUUGAAUGUCUGCAGAAGUCUGUAUGCUUCUCUGUGGAAGUGAGGCCAACUAUUGACAUUGCAAAUGUCUGCAAUCAAGAACUCACAAUCAUUCACAUCUUAGUUUAAAGUUUUGUUACAGAGCUGGGUCAAUAUCACCCUUUAACUCUUCUGCUGGAAAAAAAAAAUGUUGAUUUGUUUGGAACUUUGGCUUUGACAUCAACAUUGCAUGAUGAUGAAUUACCCUUGAUGGUCAAUUUUUCAGGACAAAGAAAAGAUGAAGAUGUGCAACAAAUACAUCACUAAUGACAUGGACUCUGAAAAAGCAAAUCAGCCCCAAAUUUUAAAAUAGUCAUACAGACCACAUACGCAGAGGACUGAAGCUCUGAGGUAGAACUGGUCUCUCAGGAUCCAGAUGACUAAACCCAGGACUGGGCGAUGUAGCAAAAAAAAAUAAAAAAUAUCACGAUAUAUUUUGUCAUAUCGUCCCAUCUCGAUCAUUAUCACAUUCUUUUUCUCUCUGUAUUGUUUGUGUGCUCUCAAGGUACCAGUGACGCAGUUAUAAUAUAUUAUUAAUUCAGGUUCCAGGUAAUGCCUCAGUCACACUUAAAGGUGGUGGGUCAGUGGAGUUUAUAUCAGAGAGAUAUGGAAAGAGCUUACCUGUAAGCAGUUCUGACACAGUGCUGCCUUUAGAUCCAGUGUUUGUAGAUGUUAGAUGUGGUUUGUGCUGGACCCACUGAUCCCUCCACUUUGAAAAUCUUGAUCUCUCUCUGAAGCCCUGAGGUUGCUUUAGCUGACUGUUGUGGAGGUCUGGGUUUUGAUGCCAAGAAUUCUGGUGUAGGACUUUUUCAAUAUAUAUAUUUCCACAUAUAUACAAUAUAAAAGUAAUAACAAUUAUUAUUAUUUUACAUUUGAUCAGUAUCGUGAAUAAAAUCUCCUCAGUUUUCAAAAAGACUGCAUUAAGUCAAACUUUUAAACAGGGGUCAUAAUACUGGUGGACACUGACAUGCGGAUCCAGUUUAAGUGGACACUUUUGUCCCCGUUUAUCUGUCCAGCCUCACUCCUCAGUGAUGUGUCCACGCUUUGGCGCUGUCACUCCACUGUCAUGUCAGAGAGGAGCCCACAGAGAGAGCACAGACAAGCCCUCUGAACUGGACCACUCAGUGGUUCAAACCCUGACACAUCAUGCUUACACACACACACACACACACACACACACACACACACACACACACACACACACACACACACACACACACACAACAGACUGACUGAGAUGGCAGUUAGAAUACUGACCAAAGGAUGACCACGAGCACACAUCACAAGGUGACCUCUUUUUUUUUUCAGCUGUAGCAUACAUCUGUCUUUUUCCACAGAAGUUACUCUGAAUUUUCUCGAUUUGAAUCUGCAAACAGAACUCUUGGUGGUUACAGGAAAAAAAAAGCGUAAUAAGUGAGUGUAUAACCGCUAACUGGCUGUUGAGCUCAUUUAAGUUUUUUGAAAAGCUUUUCACUGGUUUUGAAGUAGUUUCGUUCUUACACUGAUGCCUGUUCAGACCUUUUAUAGUAAAAUAAGUAACUUCAAUUCAUGAUUAAAUACUGAUUUCAACAGUCUGAUGAAUAUUAUAAACUACAUUUCUAUCAAGCUCUGCUAAAUUGUUUAUACUUAAUUGGUUACUGCUAAAUUGCUAUGCUGCAGUGUGAAUGCUUCAUCUCUCCUUGAGGACAGAGCAUUUAAAGCAGGUGUUUACUGAGGUUUUUCAGAUAUUUGUUGGUACAGUGAAGCAGAAGUUCUGACAUCUGGACUGUGGUGUCCCUAAACCAGUACACUAGUCACCUUUUGGAAACUAACUCUCAGUAACAAACCAAGUCAAAGUUCAUCAAGUUUUAUUGAUAUUAUGAUGCAACAAUUUCAAAUAGCAACAAAUCAAUGCGCCACAUUGCCACUCUGCAUCCUGUAAAGUUAUCUUCAUCAAAAAAAAAAAAAAAAAAAAAGUCAAACCAAAAAUUCAAUCUGUAUGCUUGUACAGCAGAUGUACACUGCGUUCCAAAUUAUUUUGCAAAUGAUGUUUUUCUCCGAUUUUCUUGAUAGUCAACACCAAUGACAGUCAUUAUCUGUUGGAGUAUAAUUUAAAUAUUGAUGAACAAACCCCCCAAUGAUAACAGUAUUUUUUUUUAAUAAAAAACUUAAAAUUUACUGUUCCAAAUUAUUAUGCACAACGGAGUUUAAAAACAUUUCAGGGGUUGUAACUGAAAAUGGCCAUUUGUUAUUAUAAGGAGGUCAUAUUUACUGAAAUCAAAAGCUAUUUCAAUUAAGAACAUCUUAAUAGGUCACAAAUCAAAAUCGUAACAUAGGACCCCUUAUUUGAUAGCAGCUUCAAAAUUCUUGCAUGCAUUGAACUUGUGAGUUUUGUCAUCAUAGUAUGAUGAUCAUGCUUAAGUUUUCCUGAAAUAUCUAAAGUUUUAAUACCGUGUCCAAGGCAUUCAACUAUUUCCUUCUUUUCAGCAGCAGAAAGGUCCUUUUUCUUUUCCAUAUUGCUUGAAAAUGUUGGUCUGCUUAAUAAUGUGGAAUAUCCUUCUUUAGUAGUUUUCUCCUUAACUGGGCUCACCUGGCAAACUAAUUAUCACAGGUGUCUGAGAUUGAUUUCAGUGAUCCAAAGAGCCCUGAGACACAAUAACAUCCAUGAGUUUAAUUGAAAAACAAAAAAUCUAACUUUUAUGACACUUGAAUACAAUUUGCAUAAUUAUUCAGAAUGCAGUGUAGGCCUUGGGAAGAGUCAGAUCUGUAUGACAGCAAGUGAUGGAGCUCAUUAGAAAUGCACUUAUCAUCCAAGAAAAACGGUAAAAACAUCAUUUAUGAGGACCACCCAAACCAGCCCAGCAGGAAAAUGUAUCACAGUACCUUUAAAUUUGUAUGGUGAUAAGAUGACAUUUAUCAAAAAAGUAGACUAAAUAACCAGCCUGUACAUUGUUUUCAUGUAGUCAAAUAAAGGGUGGGUCAAUUAUAAAGUUAUAAAGCACUGUUACGAGAUACAGAUUUCAUAGAUUUUUCCAGUUAUCAUUUUUAUUUGUACCCUCAGUUUCCAGGAAAAAUGCACAGAUUACCCUGCUUGCAUUCUUGCACAAUCCAUAUCCAUAGUCAGAGGUUAUCACCGAGUGAAAACAACAAUGGAGGUAGACCGGAGCAGAAAAUGUGAUAAUGAAAGAGCAGACGUGAGAAUUUGGAUGGUGUUACAUUAGAGGACAGGAUUGUUGUAGGGAUGUGUUGCUGUGUGGUAACAGCAGCAUAAUCGACUCAGGAACAUUGAGCGCUCCCCUGUUACCGUGUCCUCUUAUCCUUGUUGCUCAGCAGCAGCUUUUGUUAUUUCUACAAUAGUGCUGUUGUGUUGGCAUGUCAUCCUUUCACGGUGAUUGUUUCUCACCUUCAGCUUGGCAGCCAGGGAGGAUGCCACAGUGGAAACUGCGACCUUUUGUCACAUUUGUUUGUCAAAAAAUUACUCACUUCUCUUUCUUUUGAAUCUCAUCUUUUGCUGAAUUUUACAUGUAAGACACUCUGGGCAGUAAAUGUUUAGAGCAAUGGGAUUUCCUCAAGGACACACUAAGCAUCUUCAACACAGACCAUUAAUAAAAGUAAAAAAAAAAAAUAUAUAUAUAUAUAUAUAUAAAAAAAAAAAAAAACAAUCAUUAAAUCAAUGAUUUGUUCAGUUUAAAUCGUUGUCACCUCUGGGUUGCAGACUGGCCUGGAUCUUUAGGUUUCAAUUAACUUUUGAGUCCUACACAGAACUGAUCUCUCUGUCCUUUUUUCAAUUUCUCUUUCUUGCUGGACCCCUCUCACCCACAUCACCCAUGUGGUUCUGGUGAUAUUUCUGAGUCAGGGGACCAGGCUCGUUCUGUCGCACACACACACACACACACACACACACACACACACACACACACACACACACACACACACACACACACACACAUUAUGGAGCAGCAGCUGGAGUCUGAGGCAGUAUUAAUCCUAUUUCUGCUUGUUAAUGGGAUUAUGUCUUUUAAUUAAAGGCAAGUGGAGAGCAAUUAUGAGCAGUGAGAGGAUGUGGCACAGUUCACUCUCAUGUCAUCAUGUCGGUAUUCAAGGUGCACUCGUGCAGGUGAUGCUGAUUGCUUUGCACUUAGGCUGUGUCCGAAAUGGCAUACUGCCUACUAUCUACUUACCUACUCAAGCAGUACCUACUGCAUACUGACUACUCAAAGAUGAUUUGAGUAUGCCAAGGCUGCCCGAGCGUUUACAUACAGAUGCAUACUAAAUACCCCAGAAUGCAUUUCGUGCCGGCCGGACGCAGCGCCGGGAAAAUUUAAAUAGUCCUACCACACGCUACACAGAACGACUGCAUUCCGGACAAAUUAUAUAAAUUCAUUCAAUAAUAAUAUUUUUUCUAGCGAGAAAGUAAGUGUUUACAUCACGAUUAUGAGCCCAGUUGUUUGAAAUAGUGGCUGUUUGUAAAUUUGUCUCGGCGUUUUCGGAGACCGAAGCGUCCGCUUGGUGGGUGUUUGCGUCUAUUUACAGUAAGCACCGGGCAGCAGCAGCUCCCCCUUCACGUUUCCAAAUUAUGGCGAAGUGUUUUCAUAAUCAACAUCUACACGACACAAACCGGGCGGCAGUGGAUGAAAAAAAUCACACAAACAUCUGUGUAUCCAUGGUGAUAAUGCUAUACACCACCUGCUAGGCAUGUGAUGAGCAGCAGAGGGCUGCAAAAUGACCAACACACAACAUAAUUAUUAUGACCUUGUUCGGUUAUUUCUUGGCAAAUACAUCAUUUCCCGACUACAUUCUUUUCAUGUACAAUGAUUAUUUCAGAAACCAUCAGAUUUUCAACCACAAGUAAGAAUUAGUAAAGCUCACAUACAUUGUAAACUGGAAACUCCCCCGUUUGUAUAUUCUGAACCAUGUGCUCUCUACCAAAGAUAAUUUUUAUUAAUCAGAGGUCUGUGCUUAAUAUGAGUGACCACUUUGAUGAUGCAUUCAGAGAUGAGAAGAUGCUCAAACUUGAUGUAAUAAAUACAUCUUUAAUAGACACUUAAAUAAAUAAAGUCAAUUCAUACGAAUAGUUAAAAACAUUACCUAUAAUCCUAAUUUAAAAUACAAAUAAAUCUGGUAAAAAGAUCAAAAUAUGAUAAAAUGAUAAAAAUUGUGUAAUGUAUACUGACUAAAUAUUGUUUAUCUAUUUAUAUAUAGUAUAUAUAAUUAUUAUUGCAAUCACAUGCCAUCUAUUUCUUUUCAGCCUCGGGAAAGAGGGCCAUAUUACCAGCUGAGGUGCGCAAUGCAUUGUGGGGCAGAAGCAGUACCUGAAGCAAGCUCCGUUCCACACUCAGAAAUCGAAGCGGAUUGAGUAUACAUCCGGGCAUUUCUUGCAUACACAAAAUUCGCAUAAUGUACAGUGUGAAAACACUGCCUACUCAAUUCAGAGGCAGGGUUAGUAGGAGUAGUAGGAGUAGUAUGCCAUUUCGGACACAGCCUUAGACUAAGUACAGUUUCACUUCAUUUUGACCAGUAUUUACCCUUAUUUGUGCAUUUGUGUAUGAAGUGAUCGCAAAUUUAAGGAAAGCUGAAUCAAGUCAAUUGAAAACUCCAUCCAUAUCUGCUUCUCAGAUGUUUUUGUGGCGAGCUGGUGUGUUUUGAGGACCCAGAAGCAGACACAGAGGCAGAUAUCAACUUAAGAUAUAGUUUUAAUGUCCAAAACUCAGGUUUAAGGCAAAAUAGGAAGUCUGGUAGGCUAGCUGGCUGUCGUGUGGGCUGGAGACACUGCAAGGAAAACAGAGGAGAGGGAGGUGAGUAGACAUGCAAUGAAUCACACGGAGCAGAGUUACGAGUACUAAUUCAAAGAGGAGGCCAGGAGACGCGUCUGUACCACUUGGGAGUGAAGACAAUACUCAGGCGCUGAGACUGAGGGCUGCUGGCUUCUUGAAGUGCCUUGAUUGCAGAUGUAGAGCAGGUGUGUAGUCUCACUCAGCCUCAGCUACUGGGGGAGGGGAGGGAGCUCUGGAAAAGAGUCAAGCCAGAUCAGGCAAACAAAGAAACACAGGAAGUCCAGCCAAAAUAAAACACACUUUACCAUACUCUAAACCAAAUGACCAGGGGCCUCAUGUAUCAACGCUGGCGGCGCCAGAAAACCUUGCGUUCGCCCAGAUCGGCGCACAUGUCCAGAUUUAUCAUUGCGACACGAGCGUCGGUUCCAGCGCAAAUCCACGCAAAGUGAGGAGGUGGUGUAGAAGUUGGCGUUGAGCCGAUACUUGCGUUGACGGCACUUUGGCGACGCUGUGUGGCGGUGUUUGGUGACUCACUAUGUGACAAGCAUGCACCACAUCCCUGUGGCCGAGCAGCACGUCGCCCCACAUGACGAACCAGCAGCAGACGGAGGGAUGCGAGCUAAUCCCUGCCGGGCCGCCGUCCUCAUGCGGGAGAAUCUCAUCGCCACAGUGUGAAUGGGUAAGAAGUGAAUACAGGGUUCAAUGAGCCAAAUUAAUUUAUUUUCGCCACCAGACGUUUAUGAGCCGGUCCAGCCGCUCAUUGAUCCCCCCUGAUGAUUUCUUCCUGAUUGCAGGACCGCCUCCGUGAGGACCCUUCCACUGCGUCCGGGUGGUCCAGCGGAAGCGCAGCAGCUGGUGGACGCUCCACCGCUUGUCGGCGCGCUGGUGCUGGUGCUGGUGCUGGUGCUGGGGCCGGGGUGGCCCAAAUGCCGCUGGUCCUGGCCGACGACUCCGAGCAGGCGGACGGGCUGCUGCGGGCCGGGGUUCCGCAUGCCGGCGACACGGCCGACACAUUGAUUUCUGUGACACAAUAAAAAUAUUGGUUCAUUUCAAUUCCUGCUUCUGUGUAUCUGUUGCGUUUACAUCUAUGGCAAAGCAUGUGGACAUUUGUGUGACACGCCACUUACCCUCCGGCAGGCUGUCUGAGUCGCCGCGGGUAGCAGCGACAAUCCCCCCCACAGAGGCGCCACCCAUAAUCGCCACCACGCGCUGCUCAAAUGGCGUGAGGGUCUCCUCCCCCGGACCCCCACCUGUCUGGCCGGUACUCCUCCGGAGGGCAGCUGUACGCCGCUUGACCUCCACCUUGAGGUCCGACCACUUUUUUUUAAUCUCCGCGGGGUGCGUGUCUCGGAACCCACCGCGUUCACCCUCUCGCAAACUUUCUCCCACUCCAAGCGUUUUCGUUUUGCACUGACGCCACUGGACAGGCUGCCAAACAAAACACGCUGUCGCUCCUCCACCUCCGCCUAUGCCACCAGCACCUCCACCUCGCACGCCGUAAAUUUCGUUUUUCUUGUCAUUUUGUCUGCGUGCGAGGACAGGGAGACCCUAUUUAAAUAAAUCUGCAUAUUUAUAGGUGGGCGUAACGAGGGCGGGCCCAGUCACUCCGACAUCUGCGCUCAAUUCCACGCUGAUUGGGAUUUAUCAAGGAAACACACGUGGCUUUCGGCGCCCGCACACAUUGAUACAUACGGAUUUUUUUCAGCGUGACGGACCUUGCGUGCGCUCGUUUCUGGUAUGAGUCCCACGCAAGUGUUGAUACAUGAGGCCCCAGUUGCCUCAACACAUUUAUUAAAAUGAAGCCCCAUUUGCCACAACCAGAAACACAUUUCACCUGUAGACACUAUUCACAAAACCCACUCACUUCUUCUCAGAACUCUAAACACAUUUUUUUCUUGCUAAAACACAUCCUGCAAAACACAUCUGCUCAAACAUGCAUAGUUAAGCUCAUUUGAUGCAAAAUGCUACCCGCAGUCAGUAAAACUUGAACACAAUGAACAUACCUUGUGUCCUUGAUUAAACACAACGACUCAAAAUUGAAGACACCUGUUGAAAAUGAGGUAACCACACCUAUAUAAGUCAGUGCAGAGUGUGCUGAAUAUUCCAAACAAUGGAGGGACAAGACAGAGGGAUUCGCGUCAGAGGAAAAGGUGCAGGCUGAUGGGGGCAAGGAGCAGGCUGAGGGGGGCAAGGAGCAGGCCGAGGGGGGCAAAGAGCUGGCCGAGGGGGGCAAAAAGCAGGCUGAGGGGGGCACGGAGCUGGCCAAGGAGCAAGAGGAGCAGGCUGAGGAGGAAAAGGAGCAGGCCAAGGAGCAGGGGAGAAGGGCAAGUGAGACGUUGACGCACGAUCAUCACAGAUGAGAUGCGAGCGACCAUUAUCAACCAUGUCAUUGUCCAUGGAAUGACCAUGACUGAAGCUGGCCAACAAGUCCAGCCAAACAUAAGCCGAUAUACAGUGGCCACCAUCAUUCAGGCCUUCAGACAACACAACAGGUACUGAAUGUAGUAUUUCUUGGUCACUACAGUAGAUGUCUAUACAGAUACUGUACUGCAUACGUAGUGGAGUGCAAUACGAUUUACCACAGUUUGCCGUAAAGAGAUGUCCAUGUAUUGAAUACAUGCCUUUACAGUACUGUAUUUUACAGUAUAUGUGUAAUUCUGUAAACUGCAUGUUUCAUUACCUUUACUGUACAUUACUGUAAACUUGAGUGCAGUUGGGGGGCAAGCCUUCAUUUUCACCUAGAACAAUUGCAACCAUGGGUAAAAGUGUUACAGUACUGUGCACUGCAAGGACUAUCUCUAUACUGACCAAAUGUAUGUUUGUUUCUCUAGAGUUGACAGACUGCCCCGUGCAGGUUGGAGGGGUUCCAUAUUCACAGCAGCCCAAGAGGUCCUCACUGUUGACAUGGUUCGGGAGAACAACAUCAUCAGGCUUUGGGAAAUACGUGAGAAAAUCAUUGCUGACAAUGUGAACUUCCCGAACAUUGACUCAGUCAGCCUGACAACGAUAGACAGAGUCCUCCAGUGCCAGAGGGUGCGCAUGAAGGUGGCAUACAGAGUACCCUUUCAGCGAAACUCUGACAGAGUCAAACAACUCUGUCACGAGUAUGUGCAAGUAAGUAUCUAUGAUGUAGCCUACAGUUUACAGUACAGUACAGUGAGUGCAAAGAGAAAUGACCCAAACUAGUGACAACAGCAGAUCUACAAGCUCGAGACUUUGCGCCGUGUUGAGAGCUUCUAGAUAGGCUAUUUUCACUACUUCUUACAGUAAACGUCUGUUUACUAUUUCAGUUUCUUUGAUUUACUGUAACUUUUUUCCUCAUUAAAUUAGUGGGGAAAACAUUGAAUUCUACUUGUAAUUCAUUGAUUUAUUUGGUCUUUGCGUUUUGAUAAUUACAUUAAUCAAGGGACCCAUAAAUGCCUUGUUGUGACCCACAAAUGGGACCUGAGCAAGCGUUUGAGAAACAGUGGCCUAUAGUACAAUAUAUCGCAUUAUUAUACAAUACUGUAAUGUACUGUUUUGACUGCCUUACUGAACACCUGAAAACACUUUGUUUCCACAGACAUUCUUCGGGAUGGACAGACUUCAUGACUAUAUAUUUGUGGAUGAGGCCGGCUUCAACCUCACCAAAAGAAGAAGAGGCCGUAACCUCAUUGGGCAGAGGGCCAUUGUGAAUGUUCCAGGCCAACGAGGAGGGAACAUCACUCUUUGUGCUGCCAUGAAUUCCAGAGGCCUUGUCCACCGUCAUGCAAUGCUCGGUCCAUAUAACACAGAAUGUCUCGUCACCUUCCUGGGGGAGCUCCGAGAUGUUCUCCUUAACUGGUGGGCCAGCUGAUGAUCCCAUCCAGGACCCUCAAAAUCCUGACCCAGCUGAUCCUAUUUAUGUAAUAAUCUGGGACAAUGUUGCUUUCCAUCGUACCAGAGAGGUCAGAGAGUGGUUUGAACUCAACAACCAGCAAUUUGUCAACGUUUGUCUUGCACCUUACUCUCCCUUUCUAAACCCAAUCGAAGAGUUCUUCUCAGCAUGGCGGUGGAAGGUGUAUGGUCGCCAACCUUACACUAGGGCGAACCUUCUCUCGGCUAUGGACCUGGCCUGUGACGGCGUGCGCGUAGAUGCUCUCCAAGGCUGGGUCCGGCAUGCUAGGGCAUUUUUCCUGCGUUGCCUGGCCAUGGAGAAUAUAGCAUGCGAUGUUGAUGAGGCCCUGUGGCCUGACCCAGCCCGACGAAAUGAUGCUGGCCAAUGAUGUUGUUGUAAGCUUGUCGAAUUUGAGAGCUUGUAGAUGGGCUAUUUUCACUAGAGUAAUUCUUUAAACAUUUGUUUUCUAAUGGAAAAUCUUUGAUUUUGUUCUCUGUAAAGUAUGGUCCAUGGGUGUCCCCAAACCUGUGCAAUGUGACGCGUUGUGAGCUUGUAGUGCAAUUCAUUGCUGUGCAAAGGGUGAUGUUUCCUCCUUGUUGGCCAGGAACAUCCACAAUAGCUCACAGCCUGCCCAAUGCCUCUUUUCUUUUUUAGUGAGGUUGAAGCUGGCCUCAUCCACAAAUACAUUCAUGUACUGUAGUCUGGUGAUGGAGCACACACUGGUGACGAAGGUGUUUGAUUCUGGGUACUCUAUACUGCAAUAGGCCUGCUUCAUGCGCCCCCUCUGAUGCUGGAGUCAGUGGUCAGGCUGAGUUUGUGAAGUUCAGAUUAUCAGCAAAGAUGUUAUCCUGUAUUUCCCCUUAUAUUACAGUAUUCUCCUGAACCAUGUCGAUUCUUGGGAUGCGUCUCCCACCUGCAUGCGGCAGUCUUUCAAAUCUGUGCAGUAAAACAUACUGUCAUUACUGUGAUAAGUUACAACCUGAACAUUGUGUUUUCAUUUGUUACUGUACACUAUACAUAUGUAUUGCAAUGGAUCCUCCAUGGUGUUUACACUGCUUUGCAUUGAGUUGUGAUACAGUAACUGAUUUUUCUUCAUGUGACUAUUCCUAUGAAACACGCAAAUCUAGAGUGCAUGCCCAAUAUAUAUUUGAGAAUAUAUGUAUGUAAGGGUUUCUAAAAAAUGUGUUCUGCAGUGAUGAAACUGUAAAAAGAAUGGUCUCACACUAUGAACAUUGUGUUUUGCAUUUUUUUUAAAGUGUGUGUAAUGAUGCUUGGUAGUGUUUACAUUUUUGCAGGCCUUGAGAGGUAUUGUGUUGUCAAGGUGGACUUUUGAAAAUAUGUGAGACUUUUGAGCAUAGGUGCAAUUGUUUUGGUGUGCUCGAGUGACUUUGAACAUACGUUCUGUUUUGGAGUGUAUGGGUUGGUUUUGGGAAGAGAAUUUGCUGUUGUGUGAAUAGUGCUUGAGUGUUUAGUGUUUAGGGUUGUGGGAAAAGGGGGGGUAGUAUGGUGAAAUGUGUUUUAGCAAUAGAGAAAAACUGUAAUAAAACACUCCCAAAAGAAACUCCAGCACUUUCCCUCUUCAGCUGAAUUUGCAGGGCUGCUGGGUGUAAACCAAGAAACAAACGGCGGUGGUGUUGGUGUGUGAGAAGUUCAGGAAUAACAGGCUAAGGUGAAAGGAUAACAGGAAUCAAACUGUGACAUAAGAAAGAUGAGAGGAUGGAGCAGCUUCCACCAUGACUUCUUCGCCCUAAGUCAGUUGUGUUGUCCUAGAUAAAAGAUGUAGCUGUACUCUGUCACUGUUAAUUAAAGCCAAGCCCUGAUAUUGCAUGUGCUGAUUAGACCUCUUUUCAGGAUGUUGUAGGGCAUGUACAAAGAUUUUUCUUGAUGCCAGCCCUUUAAUUAAACUGCUUUUUGAACCUUCAGUGUUUACUUUGAGUACAUUUCCUAUUCAAGUGGUCCAAUCUUGUAAUUUAAUAGCAGAUUUCUUGGUGUGUGAACUUGAUCUGACCUCAAUCCAAGAAGGAGACAUACUGUGAAGGUUAGCUUUUUGGCACCAAUGAUGUGCUGUUUUUUCAAUGUUUGUCGUGGAAGGCUUUGGGGCAUAGUGAGAUUUGAUCAAAUUUAAGGCUGAUUUUCUUUGUUUAAUGCCUUUGAAGUUUUAACUGAUAACAAAAACAGAUGUUGAUGUCUCAAUGUCACUGGAAAACCCACAAGACCAUAGAAAAGAUGAGUGAUAAUGUCUAAACUGUAUUUUUUGACUUUUUGAACCACUCCUGCAGGGGAUGGUGUUUUGAUUUGACUUGAUUCUCAUGAUGUUUGACUGUGAGAGGACAGCAGCAGAGAUGUGACAUUCGAGAACCAUUAAGUCAUUUCAACAGCUCUUUUAAGUGAACAAUGAGAACCUGUUCACAGUUGUGAGCCGUAUCAGGGUUGUACAAUUCACAUUUUUAUCAUGUCCUUAUUAGAAUUUUAGUUAUAUGUUCUUAUCUAUUAUUUUUACAUUUUUUUCCUAUAUUGUUAAAAUGAAAAUUUUACACUUAAGUUUUUGGCAGGGAAGUUAUCUGCAUGUUUUUUUUUUUUAAUGUACCACAAGAUUGUGUAGGCAAACUCAUACUCAGCUCCUGCUCUCGGUUGCUUGAAAACAAAAAAAUGACGCUACUUCUUCCGGCUGCGUCUCUAUCACUUACAACACUCCUUGUCUUACAACUUUUAAUUUGUUUUGCUCUGGCUCACGGGAGCAUCUAUAGGUGAAAAUGACACAGAGCAUGCAGCAACACGCUGACUUAAAAACUCAAAACUCGCAUUGCAAAUGCAUAAAUGAAUAUCAAAUGAGUAAAUAUUAAUUUAAUAUUCAUUUAUGCAAUUACAACACCUUGAUUUUAGUGAGAUUAGUACUCAGUCAAAGCCAUAAAUGCACUGGUACUAAUAAUUGACAUCAUUUCUUUUGGUGUUUUUUACCUCCGCCAAGGAGGUUAUGUUUUUGGUAGUGUUGGUUUGUUUGUCUGUAAGCAACUUUACGGAGAAAGUAACAGUGCAGAGGUGCGUCUCAGCCCCAGGAGGAUCCCAUUAAAUUUUGGUGGUGAUCUGGACAAAAUUCCGGAUACUGUGAUCCAGAACACACAAAAAUAAGGGUGUCGUUGGAAUUUUCAGUGCUGAAAGAUAACCAAUGGGCAGCACAGUGGUGUAGAUAGGUGGUACAGUGGUGUAGUGGUUAGCACUGUCACCUCACAACCAGAAGGUCCUGGGUUUGAAUCCCGGGUAGGGCAUUCCUUGUUUAAGGGGGGACAUAAGCUGCUUGGCGGAGGUCUGCGCUCUCUGAGUGCUUUUCUAGUUUUGUAUUUGGUUUUGGCCAAAAAGUUUCAUUUCAUUGCAUCCCUACUUUAAACGGUCACUGCACAAUAAGAAUCCCAUCAGGGAAAGACCAGAUCAGUUCUUUUGAACUGAAGAAAAGAUGGCUGGAAUCGAUAAAUGUGGGAAAUAUCAUCUUGCAAUUUAAAGGCAGUUAUGGAACCUAAAAACCACAAAGCUUCUCAAUCAAAAUUGAUGUUGUGACUUCAGAUGUCCAGAUAAACAUACUGGGUAACUUUGGUCAGGAUCAAACCAAAGUCCUACAACUGAUGAGGUUUGCGGUGGGGAUUAUUUGCCCUUUGCUGAUUUCACAUCAUACUGAUUCCAUUAGUGAGGUGUAAACCAGCCACUGUGUCCUCUGUAACUGUGUUAAAAUCCACUUAGAGGCAUCUUAGAGGUGAAAGAGAUUGCAGAUGUGCUGGACGCUGCUGUUGUCACUGUGCCACCAAAGAAGAGGAGGAGAAUUACUUCACUCCAAUAAUCACAUCAACCACCUGAGAGCUUGCUAAUGUGUCACUGCUGCACACACAGGUGUAUUUGCUGUAAACCCACACAUGCAUACAAAAAUGCAUUAGCCUGCAAGUGCUCACAGAUUUACAUCUACUUAUCAUAAAGCUGAAACAGUUAUUUUAAUUUAUCCAGAGUGAAUGUAAAACAUAAAUCAGUGUAUAUGCACUUGUUUUAUCUCUUGCUUCUCUCAGCGUGCUCCUCCAAUUACCUGCCGUCAAAGGCUUUAUUCUGUCCUCAUCCUGCAAUGUCUCUUUUUUUCCUCUGAGAACAAGGGAGCAUUUUGUUCCAAUUAGUCUCAGCAGACAAGCCUGCAGCAGCCACUCAGCCAGUCCUUAGGAUGAAUAAACCCAACACACCUAGCUCUCCUCCGACAGGUUAACUCAAAAUACGCUGCAGGCAGAGAGUAUGAAGCGCAGCAGAAUGAAAAGUACAGUGAAGAUAAUGAAAUUAAAAGAAACAAUGGCAGUAUAAGAGAGAGUACCAGCAAAUGACACGGAUCAAGACAACAGAGAUGAGCUGUAGUGGAGGGGAAUUAAACAAUAUGGGUAACAAUGGAUGAUUUAAAAUGAAUUUGAGAUGUCUCUUGAGUUGAGGUAGGAAUCUGUCUUUUUGAUCACUCAGUGAGUUCAUUUUUAGACAGUGAGAGAAUUUCUUUUUAAAUCUGUUUGUGUUGUCAUAAGGUCAAAACCAUCUGCUGCCUCAGGUUUUGAAGUCUGUCCUCCAGGGCUGUAACACUUGGCUUAUUCUCAAACCAGCUCAAGGAAAACUUUACUUAAAAAGCAAAAAAUUCAAUAACACGACACCCUUUUCUGCUUUUUUUCCCUGAGACUUGACUGAGCCUUGAUUCAUUUGACACGCAAUUCAUUUAGACUUGGCAUAACACCCCACAGUUAUCAGUGCAUUGUACUUUAACAAGAAGGGCUGUUUGUGUUGAUCACACAUCAUUGUAAAUGUGUCCAUAUAAUGCUCCAUAAAGCUUUUAUCAUCAACAAUGGAUAAGUGUGCUGCACAAGAGUACCUGAAUGACAAAGAUACAAGGUCUUCCACUGUUCACAGCAGAAUGAAAAUCAGCAGACAUGAACAGCUUCUUAAUGUGUGCAUCAUACAGUUGUGUGGGACAGGUAGAGAUGUUAGGAAUAAAUCCAGGAUUGGGUACAUUUUUGUUAUGAAUAAACCUGAACAUGCAUUUUUCUUCAUUAUCUAUCAGCAAACACAUAACAGAUUCAGCUCUAUGUUCCAAUUUUAUAUCAGAUAGUUUGAUAACAGCUGAGAUCUCAGAGGUAGACUUCCAACUGAGUGUGCACCAAUGGUAAGGUGACCAGGUCCCCGGCAAUAACCCUGAUUUAAGCCAUGAUUUCAUGAAUUAGAAAAAAAAUGUUGCAUGAUGAUUAGAACAACGGUUAUCAUGGUAGCCAAGUAGGUAGGAAGAAUGUUGCACGCAGUCCUGAACAACAGUUUUUAAGGGGGGCAUGCACUGCUACUAAGUAGUACGGUCUGGUCACCUUAACCCAGUGAUUUUCAACCUGUGUGCCAAGAGAGAUCAUCAGAUGUGCUGUGGGAAAUUAUCCUAUUUGCAAAUAAUAUGCCAAUGUCGACUGUCUGUGCUGUAAUAAAGUGAGCGUCAGAGCAGUGCUCUUCUAUGUCACUGGGUGGCAGCAAGCUGCUAAUUGCCUGGAAAAAAAGUGAAAACAAAAAGGGGCUGGGAGCUGUUGAGGAAAAGCUUAGUGUAUGUCUUUCUUCCUUUCCUGCCAGGAUAUAAGCUUUGUGUUCAUCUAAAUGGCCAGGGCACACACUGAGUGAGAAUAAAAAAAUUUAGAAACUAUAUUACUAAUUUUUAGGGAUGCACUGAAAAUUCGGCCACCAAAAUGGCCAAAAAGUGAAUUUUUGGUUAUUGGCCGAAACACUUUUCUCACCGAAACAUCACGGCCGAAACAGAUGUUGUGAUGACGCAAGCAAAAACCGCAACCAGUACGUGCUUGUCUGGAUAAGAGCCAAAGUGUCUGCUGUGUAGACGUAUUUCUAUGUAUCUGAGUGACUGGCAUAGCAUUUAUUGCUAAAAUUUCCAGAGGGGGUGCAUCUGCAAAUAGUUUCUUUAUGUCGGGUUUAAUUCAUCACCUGAUAUCCAAACAUCCCUAUCACCAUUCUACAUAUGAGAUGAACACGGCACAGAACAGGAAAAUCCCUCCAAGCACGCCCACUCUGUCUGUGGGGGAUGUUGCAACCGAGUACACAUGCAAAAGGUGGGGAAAGAUUCACUUCUUCUCACUUUUAUUGAUAGAUUUAACCGAAAUCAACAUUGCAGACUCAUGCUCAGCUCCUGCUCUCGGCUGACUGAAAGUAAACAUACUGAUGCUACUUCUUCUAGCUGUAUCUCUACCGCCCACAACAGCUUUUGAAUUGAUUUUGUCCCUGACUCAAAAACUCAAAACUCACGUUGCAUUAAUUAAUAUUAAUCUAUACAAUUGUAAUGCCUUGAUUUUAGUGAGAUUAGUACACAGUCAUAGCCAUAAAUGCAAUGGUACAAAUAAUUGGCAUAAUAAUUUCUUUUGGUUUUCGGCCUUGGUUUCCCCAUUUUCAGUUUUGGCCAAUGUGUUUUAUUUCAGUGCAUCCCUGCAUUCUAUAAUAUAUACUGUGUUAGACUAUAGAGUGUCAUUUUGGUUGGUAGUGUGCCCCAGGAUUUUGUCAAUGUAAAAAAUGUGCCGUGGCCCAAAAAAGUUUGAAAAACACUGCCUUAACCAAUGGAGGUCUAACUACACAUGGGUAGAGCUGCUCUUGUGAAGCGAGUAAAAAAUAUUCAUUCACGCGUCUAGAUCCACGUCCCAUUAAUUAAAGUCUGUUUACUGCUGAUGAAAAUCAUCUUAUUUCCUAAAGAAAGCAAAGAUCCAACUUCCUAUCUUGCGUGCACCUAGACGAAGGUCAAACUGCACACACACUCAUGAAGGCCCACUGUGCACUGCAGCCAGGUACGCUUGUAUUUUUAUUAUCAGUCAAAAAUUCUGAUGCUCAAAAGACCAAAUGUAAAAUAACUGCAACAUGUCAACUAUGUCUUUGUGGAGUUUACGGUUUUGAGUCUGCUCUUUAUUCAGUGUGUUGAAUUGAUAGUAUACCUCUAUUAGCUCCAUAGCUAUGCAGUAUUAUUAAUUUUAUAUUCAUUAUGUUGCUGCAAACAAUACAUGAACUCUUUUAGUUUUCUUUUUGAACAAGUAAUUGAUAACCAACUGUCUCAAGAUCAACUAUGAACUUGUGUCCCCAGUGACAAGACAAGCUUGGAGAGUGUCAGGGUAUGAUUCUUCAAAUAAAUCUGAGAAAGGCUACACACUGGUUGCUCUGCAUGCAUUACCUUUAUUUUUCUAACACACCUGUAUAAAUGUAGCUCCAGCGUAGGCCCAGUCAGGAAGACUAUACUGCUGUCACAGAAGCUGUCAGAAGACAGAAGUGUCUUUUCCUCUUCCAUACUUACUUGCUUUUCCUGCUGUCAUCACUCAGCACAGUCCAUGGUUAAUCAGCCUCUCACCAGUGUCCUCUUUAUCCAAUAGUACGGUAGCACACCCUCACAGCCAGCCUAUUGCUGUUCUGCUCUCAUUUUUAAAAAUGAAAAUUUCUCCGUCUUUUUCACUGUUGUUUUCUGAGCGUCCUCCACCUCCCCACCCCCUCCCGGUCUCAGCAGAAUCAACAGUGCUAUAAUUCAUCCAUCUGGUCGCAGCAAGUCAUCAGCCACCACUACCAGCUUCAGGACUUCAUUGGUAGAUUUUCCUGCCAGACCAGGAAUCCUACAAUCUCAAAAAUCACCCCAUGGUGUCCAAUUGCCAAAAAAUUUAUGUCAAGAAACAUUUUAAUAAAUGUCAAAUAUAUAUUUUUUAUUCUCUAAAAUUUAUCUCUCUGCUGGGGUCAAAUGGUUCACAUUGAUUUAUAAAACUGCUGUUAAAGUAAGCUCUUACUGUUCUUUAUUCAUGCUGUUAAAUGAAACUUCCUGGUGUUUUUUCCCAGCUUAUGUAAACCGAGUGAAAAUUUAGAGACUCUUUGUUGAUAUGAUACUGCUGCUCUUACUUUCUAUCUGCCUCUAAAUUCAAAGUAAGUUAAAAUUAUCCUACAUUUCUAAAAAAAAAUUGUGCAUAUGGAGGAGGGCUGUCAGUGUUUAUGGCAAUGAGAUUAAAUUCUGAAACGUGACGUGUGACUGUUUUUUUUAAUCACACGUCAUUUUUACCCUUUUGGCAUACCAAAGUUCAGAUGCUUUGGUGUCAUUCUGACAUGUCACUGCAGGUAAACCAAACUAAUGUCAGCAGCAAAUGCAUGUUGAAGUGCGGGAUGCUCUGCUUCUUUCCUGAGUAGCUAUAAGUAAACAACAGCCUAUCUAACCAUUUCUACUAAUUUAGGUAAAUUAGAGGGGUGUUGAACAUUAGCUGUUUUUGUUUAUUUAUCUAAACCUUAUUGUACUUAAUAAAAUUCCAUUUUCCUGUGUGGUGUAAAUCUGUUACACCAAAGUAAAGCCUGAUAGAAAGGGAAUAUGCAAACCACUUUCAGAGAGAGCAGAGUUUACCUUAAUGAACCUGUUUCAUGGGUCUGGUACAAAGCAAGCUGGUGCUCCGGAUAAGUUUAUUGUAAUGUAGUCAUCAUGAAUGUUCCACCUGUGCUUUUCUUACCAAAGCAAGCCAAGAUACUUACAGAGAGAUCAUUAAAGUGUGAAGUGUGAAUGAGGAGAUUAGAUACAACAUGGUCUCUGGAUUUAUCCAACAACCCUCGCCUUGAAUGUUUUUUUUUUUUUUUUUUCCAAGUUGAACAUCCUUGUUAAGGUAAACUCUUCCCCCUCCUCAACUUUGCUUUAUCUUCUCUUCCCCAUCUGUCUUAAUCUCAUUACACAUGUCAAUAGAUGACCAGCUUAUUCCCCAGUGAUAAACAGCACCAUUACCUCACAGUGACCCCCAGCACUGUUUACCUUGUUAACAACGCUCUGGACCCCAAACACUCUCAUUUCCUAUACUCCGGGACCCAUAUGCAUAUGUGUGUGUUUGUGUGUGUGUGUGUGGCCUCUAAGAGACACCUUGGCCAACAUUGACGGUGUUUGUUCAGUUGUCCUGCAUUACUCCCAGUGAUGCCUUUAUUUGAAGUUGUAGUGAAAGUGGUGCUGCUGGGGCUUGAUCAGCUGAAAGGGUAACAUAGGAACAGGAAAGAAGUUGUUUCCUGGGUCAGACAUCAUCUCUUUAGAAGGUUGGGAUGGAUUGGUCAAAGCUAACCAAAUCUUUACGAGAUUAUGAUAAAAUGAGUGGUUAUAAAGUUGAUAAUGGUGUAGAAACCUGACUAAAUCAUAGCAAGAGGGUAAGAAGACAAAUGCAAAGCUGAGAUUUCAUUGCUCAUUUUCACAACAAUAAAAAGCGAGAGACAGCUGGAUCAAUUUAAUAUAUAAUUAGUACAAGCUAUGUUUAGCAUGCAUUCAUAAGAACUGAUAACAGAAUUGGGGGCAGGUGUUAGGUUGUGGUGGAAAAGGAUGAUAUAGGAAACCAUUUGCAGGCAUAGCCAGAAUCAGGCUCUUGAAUGUUAACAAAAAGGCUCCUGGAUGUUCAAAUUGAAGAGAAAACUUCUUUAAGAGUUCAACCAAAGGUUAAAAUGGUUUGCUGUUGUCUUUGGUGUCAUCCCCAGCCUCAGCUCCACCUACUUCCCACUCAUGUAGACCUGGUUUUAAUAAACUGCUCUUGAUGCUUGCUUGUACAUUUCAUCAGGGGUGUUUCUGAGGGUCAUUGAGUGUUUUGGGGUUUUCUUUAAAUGCAUUGACCUCAGCCAGAGCAACAGCUGUGCGUUAUUGGCCUUUAUGUUGCCUUUUCUGUGGUGUAGUCCCAUAAUCCCAAAGACCCUGAAGACCUAGCAGAAUAAGUGGCCUGUGAAUCCUCUUUAUUCAGUGUGCUACCAUUUAUCAAACUGAACAAAAACAAUGUAGGCACCAAUCCAAUACUAGUCUCUUUUUGUAGAGAUGCUUUUUUUUUUUUUUUCUCGCUACAUGGCAGAUGGCUGUCUUCUUAGGCAAGGUACUUAUCUCAUUCUUGAUAUUCUAACAGCCUUCUUUAUUUAAAUUUGAGGAUGGGCUCCUUACUGUUGCCCCUAAUUGUAGGUUAGUGCCAGUGAAUGAAGUUGCAGCAUGAUCCCCAGCUCUUGCUUCCAUUUUUUGCUGUCAUAAGUUAAUGUGAACUGAGUUACAAGUCGUACUUGUCAAAAGCACAAGCAAGUUGUCCACUUCGCUCUUGCUUGAGGAUCUUCAAAGUGAAUCUUAAUCAAAAGGCUUGCCCAGGCUUGACAAAAGGUGAUGAGCCAGCUCUCAGUGCCAGUCUAAGCCCAUAAUUUAACAGACUGGUCUUCACUUGCAAUUAUUUUGGCCCUUGAAAUCCCCUUGUUUCUGGUCUAAAACUCAUUUUUUCCCUCAAGGAUUUGAUCCACAUCCAUAUCAAACUGGAGCCACUGUCUCCCUGUUGUUGGCCACUUAACCCAGUGUUUUCUGACUGCCUGUUAUGGGGUGCUGUUAGAAGCGUGGGGGUUUCACAAUUCUUCAAGAGUGGGACUCAACCUUGGUGCUUUCACCUCUUAAAAGGUCCUGGACAUGUCCAUUGCAUCACUUUAGGCAAAUCAUUCAGCUUUUUGCAGUGAGGUAUAUCAUUGUUGUAAACUGUUUUUUGUCUAUCUAUUUCAACUAACACAACCCACUUCUUGGAGUACAAACUAUGUGAUUUCUGAACAUGUGAUUUCCAGACUCCUGAAGGACUGUGCAGACCAGCUCUGUGAGGUGCUACUGCACAUCUUCAGCUUGAGCCAGAGUCUGGAGAGGGUCCCAGCACUGUGGAAGACUUCCUGCGUGAUUCCUGUCCCCAAGACAGCACACCCCAGGGAGCCCAACCACUUCAGACCUGUGGCCCUCACUUCUCACCUGAUGAAGACGCUGGUGAGGAUCGUGCUGAGGAACCUCCGCCUCCUGGUGAGCUCUCAUCUGGAUCAUCAGUUUGCGUACCUGCCAAACAUCGGGGUGGACGACGCUGUCAUCUACCUGCUGCAGAGGUCCAUGGCUCACUUGGAGAACACUGGCAGCACUGUGAGGGUCAUGUUUUUUGACUUCUCCAGUGUUUUCAACACCAUCCAGCCUUCACUGCUCAGGGGGAAGCUUGAGAGACAGACCACAGUUUGUGAGGCUUCAGAACUGUGUGUCGGACAUGGUGGUCUGCAGCACGGGGGCUCCACAGGGGACAGUGCUCUCCCCCUUCCUCUUCACCCUGUACACCUCGGACUUCAACUACAACUCUGGGAGCUGUCACCUCCAGAAGUUCUCUGAUGACACAGCCAUCGUCGGAUAAGCGGAAAUACAGGACUGUCAUCACUGACUUUGUCAACUGGUGUGGCACAAACCACCUCCAGCUCAACGCCAGUAAGACAAAGGAGAUGGUCGUGGAUUUCCGCAGGAGGAGGACACUUUAGACUGUUCCAGUGAACAUCCAGGGUCUGGACAUCGAGAUGGUGGAGUCCUACAGAUUCCUGGGUGUCCACCUCAACAAUAAACUGGACUGGUCAACCAACACAGACGUUCUGUACAAGAAGGGCCAAAGUCGUCUCCACCUGAGGAGACUGAGGUCCUUUGGAGUGUGCAGGACUCUGCUCAGGACUUUCUAUGACUCUGUGGUAGCAUCUGCACUUUUCUAUGCAGUGGUCUGCUGGGGGGCAGGGAGCACCGAGAGGGACAGUAAGAGACUGAACAGACUGGUCAGGAGGGCCAGUUCUGUCCUGGACUGCUCUUUGGACUCCCUGGAGGAGGUGGGUGAGAGGAGGAUGUUAGCAAAGCUUGUAUCCAUCAUGGACAAUCCCUCUCACCCACUGCACCAGACUGUGGGGGCUUUAAGCAGCUCCUUCAGCAGCAGACUGAGACGACCACCUUGGAAAACGGAGCGCUACCGCAGGCCAUUCCUCCCUUCUACAAUAAGACUUUACAACGAACUGUAAUAAAACUGGACUCACACCACCACUUUUUUCUGGCAUUUAAAUUGUGUAUAUAGUAUAUAGUUUUAUUUUUCUCCUCCCCUUUUCCUUUUCCUAAUUUUUUUUAUUAAUUAUUACAUUUAUUUAAGUUCUUAAUAUUAGGAUCUUUAUUUUUAUAACUGCAUUUUUGCACUCUUUGUCUGUGAUGCUGCUGUGACAAAAAAUUUUUCCCCAUGGGGGAUCAAAAAAGGAAUAUUCUAUUCUUCUAUUCUAUCCCGGUGUUCGUCAUGACCACACAUGUAGCAAGGGGUUAACAUGAUGGAGUUAUCAAGCAUAUAAAGUGAUCCUUAAGUCCUGGUGGAUUUAACAAUGACAAAAACCGUGUGUGUGUGAGAGAGAGAGAGAGAGAGAGAGAGAGAGAGAGAGAGAGAGAGACAAAACAUGUAUGUGUGAUGACUCACUUCUCAGCUGUGAGGAUUACAUGUGCUACCCUAAGCUUUAAGCAGAGCUCUUUCAGGGAUCUGAGGGGAUAAGAAUGCCACAUGCCUUUAUGAAAGUAUGAGCUAAUUAACUCACCUCUCCCAUCUCAACCAUCCACACACACCCUGACCUUUUCACACCCUUCUGACCUACACAAAUGCUGCAGUGGUUCUGAACGCAUGUGUGAACUUAAAAGCACCAAUCUGUAGUUAUUUCUGUACUUUCCAUUUUAUGUACCUUGAGGCAUCGCUAAAGGCUAAAGCCUCUAGGAACACCAGCAAAUCAUGCUGUGGAGAAUCCCUCCACUGUCUCCCAUUAGACUUGUUUUCCCCCUAACCUUACUUUGGUUUCUGCUUUCACCUUACAACUGCAGCUCUGUAAAAACCUUAACCUACAUUUUAGCAUUUUAAAAACAUGGCCUAACCUUCACUCUUUUCUCCACAAAGCAUUUGCCAUUUUACAAGAGGCAUCUAGUUAAGAACAUCUGAAUAAAACAUGACACAAGCAACAUUGUAGCACUGGGUGAAAAUCCCCUGGAGUACUGGAUGUGGAAUUCUACUGAAAUGUUUCAUCAGCCGAUGAUAUGAAUAUGUCUCACACUUCUGCAAGAGGAAUCAGGGUCAUGCUGCUGCCAAACUGUGUGGAUAAAUCCUGGUCAAUUUAAGGAAUUGCAAGACUCUAGAAAUGAUAAGAGUUACUUUUAGAGAUGAAUGAUAAUGUUUCUUUUUGUUCACUUCAAAUUUCCCUCUUGUUCUCUCUCUUAAACUCAAUCUGAUGCGCACUUUGGGCCUACUUGGCCCGACACAUAACAUGAUUACAAUACGAUACAAUACAGUACAAUGC